UCCAUUCCUAGUAAAUUGUUGGGUUCAUUCCUACGUCUUGCUUGGAGCAACAAACUGGAAUGGAAUGCUUUCCCAGUCUUGCAUAUAUCAAAAGUGCUGAAUAACAUGCGCACGCAAGUAGAGCUGAUCAGCUGAGUAUACAAUCCAUAUAUCAAAAGUACACAUGGUACAAAGUACAGCAAACUCGGGGAGUGGAAGAACAACCAAACAUCGAUACAACAGUGUGGCCGGCCAUGCAGAGCUACUUGGACGUACGUACUCCUCUCUCUCUCACGCAGUGAGAUAAUAUGAGAGCAUUUAUUCAUAUAUAUAUGUGGGUGUGCGUGUGUGUGACCUCAACGUACUAAGCGUAGAUCCAGCAACGAUGGCGUAGGGGACGAUGGCAACAGCGAUGGCAGCAAGUGCUCGAUCAGCGAAUCUUAGAGCAGUCGACCGAAGAGCUGAUGGCGUAAGGGACGCUAACGCCGCACUUUGUGGGGAUGCCGGCGGCCUUGCCAGCGUUGAGCCCAGCAGCAGCGCUCUUGAUGCACUUGCACGCCGCUUGCUUGUCAGCGGUGCUCCGGGCUGAGCUGGCUAGACUCCUAACGCCGCUGCAGCAGGCCGCAGAUGGGCUGGCGCCGUUGCCGCGUGCAUAGGAGAUGCAGGGGCUCAAGGCAGAGCUCACCUGACCGCACGAUACAGCCGCCUCCGUGACUGCGAGGAGCAUAGCAGCCACCACGGCGACGAGCACGACCUGAGCAAUAGUAGUGGUAGUGAGCUCAGGCAGAGAUGAUGAGAUAGCUAGAUUUGCUAAGUGAUUGUAAUGGUGAGGAGUUUCGUGGGGAUGCAUGGGCUUAAAUAGGGCUUCUUACCAUCACGGGAUUCCAUUCGGAAUAAACAGUGUAGUUUCUUGGUGUCAAGUAUUGUGUCUACGUGUGCCAAUUCAAUUGAUGCGAGCAAAUGCAUGAAUUUAGGUUGUUGGAUGUUGGAAUUGAUUUAUGGGUGUUAAUGCAUUUAGGAGAUAGUUGGUUGUUACCGUUUGGUUGGGCCGAUGGAUGGACCAAGCACUACAUCCAGGCGUUCUAGCGGUGGAAUGUGGUUGAUUAGCGUGUACACAGCAGAUUAAUUAUGAGACUAAGACAUGUACGCAGUCAUAUAGUGGCCGACCAUGGAGUAGUUGAGUGCAUCUAUGAUGGUGAGCACGACCAUUGAACUGUGCAUAUACGUACAUCAUCAUUUUUACCCAAAAUACGCUCUGGCCUACCGAAUCCAAUAGCUCAGCUUCAAAGCGGAAACCGGAUUUGCUUCCAAUAGAAGCACAGCCGUGCAUCUCGGAAAAGGGAAAAAAAAUGUUUUUUCCAUCCACAAGAGGUACUGAUUUACUUCUCGUGGAGUCAAGAAUUUGCUUAUGCGAGAGGGAAAAAUCUUGGAUUUUUUCGACCAUGAGAGGCACUAAUUUACUUCUCGUGGAGGCACGGAUUUGCUUCCACGACAAGCACGGCCGUGCCUCUCAGAAAAAGACAAAAUAUGUUCUUUUCCUUCCACGAGAGGCACUAAUUUAGUUCUCGUGGAGGUGCGGAUUUGCUUCCGCGAGAAGCUUGGUCAUGCUCUUGGAAAGGGAAAACCGUGCUCUCGGUUCGAGUUUUUUUCGUCCGAUUUUUUCGUGGAAAAAAGUUCGUCGAAACCUAUCAACAUACGAUCUAGUUUUAUAGAUCUCGACGCGAGGAAUCCAACGGUGAAAUGGUUUAGGAUUUGGACACAUGGUUGAGAGAUAAAACAUUUUGAAUAAAAAAUCUACGAAAAAGGAAAAAUUCCAGGUUGCGACAAGUGGCGCACAUGCAGUUCGACACAUGUUGCACCAUGGGAAGGUGUGAGUGACAUUUACAAAGAGUACUCUUUAAUCAGUGAUUUCGGUAGUUGAGUGCAUUAAUUAUGAUGAGCUCGACAAGUGAACUAUAUCAAUCUAGUUGUGCAUGUGGUCAUGCAUGCCUGGGGAUCAUCUACCUUGCCUUACUUGGUUCCAAUAUCACAGCUUAACAUUCAUUGGUACCAUAUUCAGAGCUACAUUUCGAAUUUUUAUUUGUACAUCAUGCAUGUUUUAUCCGAAGGUGAUCCCACGAUUCUAGCAACUCAAAAACACAAAAGGACACAUGUUCAUGUUAAGACCUUUAUGUCCAUCAUCUUCUUGGUCGUCGUUACUAUUAUAGUCAUUAUUAUUGUUAUUGUUGUUCUUGUUGUUACAAUUUAUUUGUGGGGAACGCCAUUGCCCGUCUUGUUCUAAGAGAAAACAAAGGAACACUAUCUCUUGUUUCCUCACAAGAUACCCUUGCCUGUCUUUUUCGUUCACGUGGAUGUGUGUACCACCUUCAGAAACGAAAUUGAUCGUUCCACGUUAACUCUAGUAAUAUAUCAAUGGAACUAAGUUGGUAAAAACCGGACGAUAUUCGAUCUAAAUGCAUAUAUAAAUAUAUUAUUAGUUAAUAUAUUUUCAGUUGUUUUACAAAUACACAUUCUAAAUUACCACAGAGCAAAAAUGUGCACUUGGGAGACUUGUAAUUCAGCACCAAAUGUCACUGUCCCCUUGGUUCACCUGGAGUGAAUAGAUGUUAACUUGCCUCUGUGCAAGUAUUCAGUGCCAUAGUCCACUCGGCUUUUUAUUAAUGGUAAGUGCCUCAUCCGUCAAUGUAGCAGCAUGUCUCAUGAUGAUUUAGUAAUGCCGAUGGAUGCGUCAUUAGAGCAUCUCCAUCCACAAACACACUAAGCAGGCCCCAAAACACCCGCGGACGCGUCCGCGGACAGUGACCGGACAGCACAGCAAAAACGUCCGCCACAACCAUAAAACUCAAAUUUCGUACCUCCGUACCCAAAUAGCACAGCCAUGUAAAUAAAAACCUAUGUACUACGUACAUAGCUAAAAGAACUAUUGUUGGAGAUGUUGACGGUCUCCUUGCCUGGGGCUAGGUAGAUGGGAAAGUGCGGUAGCUCCUGCGCCUGUGAAGACUCUGGCCCCUCUCCACCUCCGCCUUCCCGUCCAAUUCUAUGAACAGUGCUUCCAUCGACGCCUGUUUAAUUCCGAUGAACUGUCGGUUAGCCUCGACAUAGACCUCGUCCAGGAUGGACUCAUGGACGGCGGUCUGUUCUACCAUCUCCAUCGCUUGGGCGGCCUCGUACUCCACCUUGGCAUCCGCCACGGCGAAGCCCGCAGACAGCCACACCUCCACCUACUCCCCUCUGGCUCCGCUACCUCCUUCUUCACGGGCUCUGCUUUCGACAGCCGCUCCCCCUCCUCCUUCUCCUCCUCCUCCUGCCCCACCUGCUCCUCUUUAUCCUCCUCCUCAUCCGCCACCACCUCCUCCAUGAGAUAAUACGAAGGCUUUUUUUCGUGUGUGUGUGUGUGUGUGACCUCAACGUACACAUGGUGACCAUUGGUUGAUCAACAAAUCUUAGAGCAGUCGACGGAAGAGCUGAUGGCGUAGGGGAUGUUGAUGCCACACGCUUGGAGGGAAUGUUGACGACGUUGCCAGCGUUGAGCCCACCGGGAGCGCUCUCGAUGCAGUUGCACGCCACUUGCUCGUCAGCGGUGCUCCGUGCUGUGCUGGCCACACUGCUGACACGGCUGCAGCAGGCCACAGUCUGGUUGGCGCCGUUGCCGCCGGCAUAGGAGAUGCAGGGAUUCAAGGUAGAGCUUACCUGUCCACAGGAGAUGGCCGCUUCGGUGGCUACGAGGAGCAUAGCUAGCGGCCACUAGGGCGACCAGCAUAAGCUGAGCAACUGCAGCAUGGGCCGUCUUGAUCUAGCUAGCAAUAGUAGUCAACUGAAGAUGAUAAGAAGGCUAGAUUCGCUAUGUGAUUGCACCGGGAGAAGUUUCGUCGUGGGGGUGGGUGUGUGUGUGGUGGUGGUGGGGGUGGGGACCCAUGGCGUAUGCACAACAGAUUAAUACAAGUGACCGGUCAUGGAAUUUUGUGCAUUUACGACGGUGUGCUUGAUUACUAAGGCUGCCCGUAACGGGAGUAUCAUAGGUAGUAUCAUGCAUGCCAACUAAGCAAUUUUGAUGAUGUGGCAUAGAAUUAAAUGAAGAAAGAGAGGCUUGAGUAUCAUAUUAGAGCAAGUACAAUAAGUCCUAGUCAGCUGGCUAUAUGGUGUUCCACGUCAUCAAAGUCAUUGCUGGAGGAGAGAGAAUGGAGGAAAGAGAAGGAGGCGGGCGAUUCAGCUAGCGCCGGCUCCAGCACAAGAAACAAGAAAAAUAAUUCUGCAUGCAGUCUUGUGAGCCCACAUUCCUCUCUUCUCACCAAUCACAUGUCUCUCUUUGCCUUUCCCCACUUGCAAACAUUAAAUACCAAUAGCUAGACUAUAGCUAAUCUGUUGUACUGGUGGGCUCUUAUGAAGGCUUUAUGUGACAUGGCACUCAUAUAUAGCCAGCAACGGCUUUCUUAUUAAUCAUGCUCUUAUGAUAAAGUAUCAUAUUAAAUGAUGUGUUAUUUUGUGUCAUGCAUGGCAAUAAAUGUAGUCAUCUGUGAUACCAACACAUGAUACUAUGCAUUACGGAUGUAGUAUCAUAUGCAUGAUACUACUAUAUGAUACUCCCCAUUACAACUAGCCUAAGGCUACUCAUAGUGAGGAGUAUCAUAUACUAGUAUCAUGCAUAUGAUACUAGUAUAUGAUACUACCUUCAUAGUGCAUAGUAUCAUAAAGUAGUAUCAUAGCUGACCAUAUUUAUUGCCAUGCAUGACACAAAGUAGUAUAGCAUUUAACAUGAUAUGGUAUCUACCUAUGUUACUCUAACCCUCUCUCUUCUUUAAUUGUGUGCCACAUAAUUAAGCAUGUUUGCUAGUCCCAAAUACAUGUUACCGGUUAUGUUACCUCCACUAUGGCCAGCCUAAAGUAAAUCAAUCUGACAGUACAUAUGGCCGUGCAGGACGGGCGAUAAACCGCCUUUCCUUACUCUGUUCUCCAUGUCACAGUUUAACAUUAUAAUGCUGUAUUGAUUUAGUUUAUAUGAUAAUAACGUGUUUGAGUAAAUAACAAUGUAUUAGUACUAACUACUCCAUCCAUCUGCAAGUUUAUUGGUCCUGUUAGUAUUUUUACGCCAAACUUUCACGAUAGACUUAAUUAAGAAAAUAAUAAUGCAUGUCAUAAAAAAUCAUAUCAUUUGAUUCGUAUUUGAAUAUAGUUUGUAGUGAUUUUUUUCAUGCUUUAACAUUUUAUUAGUUAAAUUUAAGGUCAAAAUUAAGCACAAAAUGCGAACAGGACCAAUAAAUCAGGACGGAGGUAGUAGGACAUAAAUUUCAUUUAGCAAAUGGCUUCGGUGCACCAGGAUCUUAUAGCACACGUCAUGCGGGUGUGUUGUUCCGGCUAUAGUUUCUCGAUCCACAUACGACAUCAUUGGGAACAGAGUUCGAGAGGUGCAUAUUUGAAGACGGAUCCGCUGUGUUUCAUCCUACGAUGUGCCACUGCUGCAGGGUCUCGAUCCAUACACGACGCCAUGAGGAAAAGAAGUGAAGAGGAAUAUAAUUAUGGACACUAAUGGAAAAGAAAAAAAAACACUACAUUUCCUUCUACCGGUAGGUUCCCUACCUGAAAACAAGCAAAGGCCAUCUCUAGGUCUUGGCCCAGCAAUAAGCAAGACCCAAGAGAGUGGCCGAAUGAAGCGGGUUGCAGCUGACAUGCAUGAAGCCCUCAAUAAAGAAAUAAACCAAAAUAUCUUUUUUUCUUGAAUACGCACGAGUGUGCGUAUAAUAUAUUGAAGAAGGAGAGGGGUGAAGAAACCCCAUCCAUAGUUUACAUAGUUCGCGUUACAUCCACAAUCGCACUCCACCCAUCAAGAAAAGGAAAAACGUGGAGACUACUCCCUAUCUGCCCAGACACCUAUCCCAGCCAUCCAGGGCUCUAAGUCGCUAUGAAUGAUCCCUGCCUUCAUCCACACCGCGCACUCAGCGGCGAUCCUCCGCAGAAGUGCCUGCACGUCCGGUGUCUUCCCCUCGAACACAAUAGAAUUCCUGUGUUUCCACAAUUCCCACAUGAUCAGGAGAUGUAGUGCACGCAAGCAUUUGGCAUGCCGCCCGACCAACGGUCUAGUAGUCCAGGCCAGAAGAUCAUCCGCUGCUGUUGGGGCCUCGCCAAUGAUACCAGUCGCCUGGCAGACCGCGUCCCAGGUUUCUCUAGCAAACACACACCGGAUGAGGAGGUGGUUAAUAGUUUCAUCGUCCUGGUUGCAAAAUGGGCAGCGUUCCUGAUGUGGGAGGCCUCUUCUCGCCAAUCUAUCCGAGGUUCACACCCGAUUUUGAAGGGCCAGCCAUGCGAAAAAUUGACAGCGCAGGGGUGCAUGCGAUGACCAUGUGAAAACUGCCGUGGGGGAGACCUGAAGCGUUGCAAAUCCUGCCGUGUAGGAAGAUCGCGCCGAGAAGGCUCCGUUCUUCUCCCAUGACCACGUCAACUUGUCUGGUGUGUGUUCCAAUAGUGCGACGCUUUCCACCUGGGGCCAAAUCCCAAGGUACUGUGCUAGCGCGUGCUCGUCCAUGUCUGGGCCCAUGUCCCGAGCCCAAGAUGCAUUAGUUAGGGCAACCACCACCGUUCGGGAUUUCCUCGUCCGUUCAGAUAUUCUGUCAUAUACGGCUGGCGUGAGCUCCUGUAUGCGGUAUCCUGUCAGCCAUCGGUCAUCCCAGAAAAGGGCGGUACAUCCAUCACCAAUGGUCAUCCUCGCAGCUGCCCGAAAGAGCCCUCUGGCCUCCUCCGAUAUGUUCAACUUGAAUUCCACCCAUGGCCUAGAGUGAUCAAUACGCUGUAGCCAGAGCCACUUGGUUUGCAAGGCGAUGUUCAUCCAUCACAGGUUUGGAACUCCAAGUCCUUCUACCUACCUCGGUCUACUCAAUGAUUCCCAUGCCACAGCACACUUGCCACCACCUGCUUCUUCCUUUCCACACCAUAGGAAACCCCUACAGAUUUUGAUCAUCGCCUUCAUGGUCUUCGGUGGCAACCCCAUUGCAAGCAUUGAGUGAACUGGGAUAGCACUCAGGACAGACUGGACAAGCAGAAGGCGGCUGCUCUUGGGCAGCGUCGCGGCUUUCCAGGUCGGUAGACGCGCUGCCAUCUGGUCGACCAUCUCUUGGAACUGCGCAGCCGUCUGCUUCCUUAUCGAGAGCGGGAGGCCGGGAUACCGGAAAGGAAAAGAGCCACCCCUGCAGCACAGCAGCCCUGUCACCGUCUGCAUAUGCUCCUGCGUGCACCUAAUUGGCAAGGCCGCACUCUUCUGCAGGUUUAUCCGGAGGCCAGAUGCGUGUCCGAACAGGUCCAGCACGCACUACAAGAAAUAUGUCAACUUGUGACCACCACUAUUGGUCACUGAAAGGUCAUGGUUUUUCAUUUGCGACCUUUUUGUGACCAAAAAGAGAAGGUCAAAAGCUGGCAGUCGUAAACUGACUAUAGCGACCUUUCUUCUGGAAUGGUCGAAGACGUUUAUGACCAAAAUAUGUCCAUUGUGGCGUUUUGGUCACUAGCAACCUCCCCAGGUCACGUAGGCAUCCAGCGUGGCAAGCUGAUGUGGCACAAGAUUCAGCCCGGUCCAAUUUGGUUUUCUACAUGGGCCUAGCCCAACAAUUCAGCCCAUUUAUGAUUUUUUUCCUUUUAAUUUUGGUCAGCUACAUUGGCCUAGCCCAAUAAUUCGGCCUUUUUAGUUUUUGAGAUUCAUGCAAUUUUUUUGGCCCUCAGCCCUUUUUGAAAUUGUUCGAUGCUUGUUGGGAUGUGGCCUUUUUCGGCCCAAUUAUUUGUCCAGUUUCGACCAGCCUUUUAAUGUUGAGAAUUAUUUGGCCCAAGCCGAAUUUAGCCCAAUCACACAUACAUACAACAUUAUUUCACUCAAAUUAGGAAAACUCCAGGUCAAAUUCAAGUCCACCAUCAUAUCACAUCACAUAACACAUCUCCCAGGUUUACAUAACACAAAAAAUCAUCUCAGGAAUACAUUUCCCUACACAGAAAUAUAGCAGGAAUAGAGGGAAUAUACAAUAAAGAAAAUGAUGGCACAUCUGCUACUAUCAUAAUAGUACAAUGUAUUUUUUUUACGGAACAACCUUUUACAGAAUAUACAAGAGGGAUUUCAUUGCUCUCUCUUACGAGACAUGCUCCAGCUGCCACAACUUGCCAUCCUACAAUGAGAGGUAUAUAACAAUGGACUUCAUGAACAUUAGAGGAGCAAACGCUCAAUCAACACCAAGGGCUAGAUAAAGCCUUAGAUAGCAUGCAUUCGAAAUUUAGACAGAGGCAAUCAGUUACAGAAAGUAAAUGAGGACCAUACUUUACAAUUACAGUACCAUAGGACUAAUCCAUCAAUCCACGAGGCAAAAUAUGAGUGAAUCCAAAAAGAGGCACAAAGUAAUACCUAUUUUGAUCCAAAGGGGCUCGUGAGCAUGGCCGUCUUCCGUAACAGGUUGGCCCUAGCACCCUGGAUCAGACGCGCUGGGAGCUUGUAGCUUGUCCUGGUCAUACUGCUAUCCUAAGUAACAGGAAAAAUCAAAGCAACAGUUUGGACUUGGUGUUAACGAAUCAAUAGCAUAUAAAGCACCAAUUCCCUCAGAUGCAAGGAGAGGAGGAGCAAAACGACAGAGAGGUGGGACAUUUUUCGUACCUGUAGAUGAUAUUCACAGCUAAGGAAGAUACAUGGGGCCAGCCUUGCAUGUGUGCUUGCUUCACCGGUACAUGCAUCACCAUAGCAGCCAAGUAAGUAGGCAUCAUCAACAUCUCCUCACCACUUUCCUGGCAACAAACAAAGAGUCAAAACAAAACAUAUUAGACCAUAAUAUGAUACUAGAGGGUAACUGUAAAUCACCAAGUAUAUCCACAACACCAUAAAAUAGUCCCAGACCGUAGUGCUAUUUGAGUAUAUCGCAUGUAGUUUAUUAUCAUGAAGGGUUGUGUAUGCACGCUAAAUCCAGAAACAGGAGGAGGAUGGCUUAUCAACAAACUGAACUUAGAAAUGAAACUUUGUAAUGCUCAAGUUUCAGCUAAUAGAGAUUACAGAAUUUUACAUGGGACAAAUUCUUCUAGUUGCACUUAUCACAGAUAGAAGAGUUUAUAGUGAAUAAACAUUUACAAUCAAAGAUACAGCCUGGAACAUAUUAAUUUCAAGCUGCAGUUUGUAUACAAUCGGACAUCUCAGGUUGUAUACUACUCAUGAUGAUUCCACUGAUCUACGAAGUCAAGGAAUGCAACUGAAGAUGGUAUUUCUUCACUAUUACAGAAAUAUAUCAUUGUUAAUGUAAAUGAUCUGGAAUACAUAUACGGAUAUUAGCACAAACACAUAUUAGGCAAAAUCCCAUCGCAAGUGAACUCGAACACGUGCUGGACACACCCAAAAGAAACACCUAACUAGUCGUACAGCUUCGUGUACAAGUCACCUGCGCCCAAAAGAAACACCCAGCCGCCGCAGGCCAUGGUUAGACAGCAGCUAGCACAACAUAAUUAACAACCAGCUAAAGCUUAAUGCAAGAUCAUAUUCAUAGUUGGCAUGCAUCAAUACAUGAAUCUAUAAUGUUGGAUAAGGUGAUAAAGAAAAACAGAAAUAGUGGAGUUAGAAACAUAUGCAGCACAAUGAUAAAACAGAACAAUAGAUUUAAUGUAUAUAUAUUCUGGUGACUGCCAAUUGUUACAUGAUACACUCGUGUGUGUAUAUUCUGAUGAGCCAUUACCAUCUAGCCAACAACAACAUGGACAUAAUACUAAUUAGCUACACAAGGCAUCAUACUCUCCACGAGAAGGCCACGGUUACUCUUUGGAGCAGUAUGAGAACGACAAGCAUUGCAUCCUGGCAUUUUACUCAAGGCUCCAGGACACAAUAACAACAUCAACACCCACCUUUUUUGCUUGAACACACACCUAAACUAGGGACACAGGAAACAAAAAGGCUAAAUUGCGCAGACACCUAUCUGGACCUAAAUCAACAUCUUUACCUACAAAGAGAAAUGGGGACAGGCCAUAGAAUCCCCUUGUGAGAAGGCCAUAGUUACGUUUGGAGCAGUAUGAGAAAAGACAGGCAUUGCAAGCCUGCUCUUUACACAUCAUUAGACCUGCGAACAACCUUGCAGGUAGCUGGCUCUCACUUAACUGAACAUGCAGGCAAUGAAAGCACCCAACAUAUUUAUUUUAGGAGCCUGAUUAAUAAAUGUAUACCAAACAAACAAAAAUUGCAAUGACCUAGUAUGAACCAUGUAAUACAUACACUUCAAUACGUAUCCUAGUUUAUCAUCAUCACCUCAUGAGCUUAAUAAUUACAUAAAGUAAUUAUCAUCAUAUCCAGAAUUACAGUAGCAGCAGCCAACACUAGGACUACCAAAUUGAUUCGAAGUUCUUUCCAUUGUGCAACAACUCGAGCUCUCAACUACUAGCUCCUGGUACUAGCUGAUCUGAAUGUGUAAGAAGUUUGAUAUAAAUUGUGACUAGAACAAUUCUUCAGAGCUAAAUGUGCAACGAGCUUCUGAAUAUUAUCACUUUGGAGGGUUACUAUUCUUAGUUCUAAGAAGCCAAGACAACAGCAAGCUUAUAAUCAAUCCAAGGUGACAGCAAGUCCAAGAUCUUAUGGCCAAAGCAGAAAUUUCCAUGGCGCCAAGGCCAUCAUAAGAUUUACCACAUAGAGCAAGGGAGAUGAGCAAAGGGGAGGAAUCAGUGGGAUAACUUAGAGGAGAGAAGCCGACGGUGAGGACGGCCAAGGCGAUGGACCACCUGCCCUUGCAAGUCGGCCUUGUAGUCGAUCCACCUCCCCAUGUGCAUGACGACGGCCUCCCACUCGGCGACGUGCUUGGUGACGAUGCUGCGACAGGUCUCGUUGUACUUGCCGAUGCCGAGGUCGAGCUUGUCGAUCUCAGCAUGGGAGCUUGCCGAUGCCCAUCCAUGGGAGCGUCUGCGACGACGUCAUAGUUGUACCUUCAAUCCAAAGCACAAGAUCCAAACGUUAGAAAAGAACGGGAAUAGUACUGCUCUGCCAACUUCACUUUUUGUUUCUGGAAAUAUAAUUGCUUGAGCUAAUUUGACAGAUACAAAAAUUAAGUUGGAACCAUUUUUCGCUUUGCUGUUGAGAAAUCUCCCAAUCCAUUCAGUUUUUUUUACAAAAGACCAAUAUCCCAAAAAUUACUUUUUUUGGGGGGUGCUCAGAACAGUCUAUAUGUGUGGUGAUUUUGUUCAAAUUCCUUCAUACACUAGUACCAGCAGCUGGCCUUUUCAAUCAAGAGAAAAAGAAAAACGGCGACAGAGAAUUGGAGGGCAAAGCACAUGCUUGGCGUUUUUUUCUUUACAGUGUGAGUGUGCGUGUGCUGUGUGCAACACCAAACUGACUGACAACCAAGAUAUUCACCAGAGGCUCCUUGAGCAGAAUUUACAGGCCCACUGCUACGCAUGCAUUGCUAAGCUACUCCCAUAUAAAUCCGCAGCAGCUUUUCUUCAAGAGCAUAGGACUAGUAGGAUGAAGCUGUUGCCAAGCCUAACCCAUGCAUGCACGGUACUCACUUGGCAGUGAAGCGCCGCGCGACGUCGCUCUCCGCCGCGGCAAAGAAGGCCCCCAUCUCCUCCGCCGGCGGUGACCUCCCCUUAUUCGCCUUCUUCGCCCUGCACACCAUGACAAACAGCAGCCAAAGCUUGAGCAGAGGAACUCCACACGCAACAGCACGGCUUGGAACGGCCAGCGCCGUGCCCUGAGGAGAAGGAAGGAAGAGGGCUGGGUGCUGACAAGUCAGCGGGAAGGCCGUGGCAGUCCCGCCCGAAGUGGCGCAUCACGUGGCGCCCGCACAUCCACUGGUGCCCCUUGACGACGGUCGCCCCGCCUAACAAUAGUUGAAGCCCUCCCGCACCGGCCGCGUCGUUAAAGAGAGGGGGGGGGGGGUCUGUCCCGGCGGCGCGAGCCCCUCCCGCUCCGCCCGUCUCUGGUGACCUGCCAUGGCCGCCGCCGGCUAUGGGGUCAGGAAGAGAUGCUCCAUGGCCGCCGCCGGCUGACCUGCUUCGGAUCCUUGCCAUGGCCGCGGGCAAAGAGGUUGUUGGGAGGAAGGGGCGCCGGCAAAGGAAGGGAGGAUGGAUGGCGUUGGGUGGCGGAGGGGCGGCGGCGGCGAUUUGGAUCGGGGAGAGGGAGGCGGAGGCGAUGUGGAUUUGGAUCUGGAUCGAGGGACUGAGGGAGGAGAUGUGUCGUGCGCGUGCGUGUAGGAUAGGUGAGCGAGAGACGCUAGAUCGAGGGACUGAGGGAGGGUGUGGACGGCUCAGAUCAACUACAGUGGGGGGCGAUCCCUGGGCUGCCUCUUGAUUGGUUCGAAAAUAUAAAAAUAUUUCUUAGUGCUAAAAACAGGGGGGUUUUGUGAAGCAACUACCAAAACUAUUCUGCAAAUUGGCAUCACUAAAUUUUUCACUUAAUAUAGACCACAUUUUAGGGAUGAUUACCAAUUUUUAUGCAUUUCCGAUCCUUCUAGCUAUUUUUGGUCAUUUAAACAAAUUUUCACCGAUUUGGUAGAAAGCGGGUCAAAUUUAAACUAUAGGUGCCUCAUACUUUUCUCUUUAUUUUUUUCAAAAAUAAUUUCUAGGUACAUAAGUAUCUAUUUAAUCAGAGAUACUUCAAAUUUUUUGCAAGAUUCGACCCUUAGCUAUGAACGGUCAUGCCCGUUGUUUUGACCGCAUUUUCAAACGGGCAUAAAAAAUUCAAAAAAAUUAAAAAAAUUGGAAAACCUUCGCAUUGUGUCAUUAAAUAUGACCAAGUUAUUACGAAAAAUAAUAAACUUGUAAUACAUCAAUUAUUUUUAAAAAGUGUUCUCAGAAACGAACUACCAUGUGUGGAGAUCAAUGGCUUCCAAGCCAAAUGAUCAAUCUUAUGGCCACAUUCAUGGCAUAGUUUGUUCAAAUGAUCUCAUAUUGUGCACAAGGGUGCAUAUUGGAAUGACAAACAAUGUUGCCUAAGGAAGUUUUCAUUUUCAAUGGCCGAAAAAAUCAUUUUUCAUUUUCCGAGUGCCCGAAAUGAGUUUUUUUGUGAAGGACCUACCAUAUAUUUGUUGCAAAAUUGGACCUAAUAAAUUAUAUAAAAUACUAGGCCAUAUUUAAUUCACAAUUGACCAAAUGGUUGGGUGUCAAAUUUUUUGAUUCACCGCUGGUGAAAAAGACAAGUUCUCAUCGAUUCAGUUGGAAGCGGGUCAAAUUUGAACUGCAGCUGCCUCGUAGUUUGCUCUUUAUUUUUUCCAAAAAUCAUUUCUAGGUAAAUAAGUAUCUAUUCAAUCAGAGAAACACCAAAAAAAUUCCAAGAUUCAACUACUAGAUAGGAACGGUCUAAGCCUGCCAUUUUGACCGCUUUUUGAAAUGGGCAUAAAAAAUUCAAAAAAAAUCAAAAAAUUGGAAAACCUUCGCAUUGUGUCAUUAUGUGUGACCAAGUUUCCAGGAAAAAUAAUAAACUUGUAAUACGGUAAUUAUUUUAAAAAAGUGUUCUCAGAAAUGAGCUAUCAAGUGUGAAGAUUCAUGGCUUUCAAGCCAAAUGAUCAAUCUUAUGGCCACAUUCAUGGCAUAGUUUGAUCAAAUGAUCUCAUAUUGUGCACAAGGGUGCAUCUUGGAAUUCCAAACAAUGUUUCCUAAGGGAGUUUUCAUUUUCUUUGCACGGAAAAUUUAUUUUCCAUUUUCCGAGUGCCCGAAAUGAGUUUUUUGUGUGAAGGACCUACCAUAUAUUUGUUGCAAAAUUGGACCUAAUCAAUUUUAUAAAUACUAGGCCAUAUUUAAUGCACAAUUGACAAAAUGGUUGGGUGUCAAAUUUUUUUAUCCACCUCUGGUGAAAAAGACAAAUUCCCGUCCAUUCAGUUGGAAGCGGGUCAUAUUUGAACUGCAGCUGCCUCAUAGUUUGCUCUUUAUUUUUUCCAAAAAUCAUUUCUAUGUAAAUAAGUAUCUAUUUAAUCAGAAAUACAUGGUUUGAUGGCGAGACAUCGAGGUUUGGACGGUGGCCGAUGGCCCCAACUCUAGAGCGCGUAAGCUCGCAUGCCCGCCGCGUGGUCAACGCGUGAUUGUGGCGUUGCCAUGUGUUCUGGGCGGCCUAGGCAUGUCUAGUGGGUUGGGCACUCCCCAGGUAGGUGCUAGGAAGAAAAUCACAACAUAAGGUUCUCACGAGGAGACCGAUCGAUGCUCAAACAUGAAUAAGCAGCCAAGUGUUUGAUUUGCGGUACGGGAAAUGCACAUGGCUAAUGGGCGUGAGUUUCGGCUGAGGAUGAUCAGUUAUUAAGAAGACCGUCUUCAGAAAUUUUCACCUCAAAAGGAGGAGCCUAGGUGGUACUUGCUUUGCAAAGUACCACACUGGACAUAAAUACGAAUGUUGAAGCUGGGCUCAAAAUAAUGAAUGGACUGAUCUGGCAUUUGGUGGAGGAUGGUUAUUUGGGCAUAGGAAAACACCGUAGAAAAUGGAUACCAUUUGGACAUGCCAAAGUGGUACUUCCUUCACAAAGUGCUGCCUUGAACAAGAUAGGAAAAUGAAUAUUGUUGAGUUAUUUUUGAACUAGACAAGGAAGGUUUUUGACAUAUUUGAUGAAGAUAUGAUCCAAACAAUUUAUGAGAAUUUUUUGGGAAUUUUUGGAAUAAAAGAAGUAUAGGUUGAUUCACAACCUAGGGCAAAAAUUGACACAUGGACAUGCCACAUAGGCAAAACUGAUGAGAUGGCGCCUAGUCAUCACAACCCACCACAAUCUACAAGGCUAUGGCCAUCUAUAUUGGUCAUUAACAACUAGAAAUAAGGCAGCGGACCAGCACUGUUUGCUUUGUGACCAUUUCGUGUAAGGAAAUUACGACCUUUCUGACCAAAAUGGUCGCAAUGGUUUAGGGUUUGGAGCCCCCGAACAGCUUUUGACCAAUUGGUCUCAAAUGGUCAUAGAUCUAUGACCAAUUCUUCCAGGGUCACUGACAUAAGGUCACUAGUUGACACAUUUCUUGUAGUGACGGUAGCGCAUGCCCGCAUAUCUCUCACUGAUGGUUUCAGGAACACCAUGAUGUCAUCAGCGUACAUGGAGACAUGCUGCUGCAGCCCAGAUCUGGCGAGAGGGGCAAGCAGUCCGGCUGUGGACGCGCACUCAAACAAGUGGUGCAAAGGCUCCAUGCAUAGGAUGAAUAGCAUGGGAGAGAGGGGGCUGCCUUGUCUCAGGCCCUGGCAAUUGUAUAUAGUCUCCUCUGCAAUGCCAUUGACAGUGAUCUUGGUGGUGGACGUUGCCAACAAACCACAUAUCCAGGCGAGCCAUUUCGGUCCAAAACCAAGCGCCGACAACACUCCACCAAAAACGGCCACUGCACGGUGUCAUAGGCUUUGGAUAUGUCUAGUUUGCAACCUGCGAGCCGUGCCUUGCACAAGCAUAAAGUUGUCGUGGAGUGUUCGUCCCCGGACAAAGGUGCUCUAUUGGUUCCCGAUCAGGUGAGGCAGAUCGUCUGCAAGCCUCGUGGCUAGGAUCUUUUCGAAGAUUUUGAUUGCGCCAUGGUUGAGCCUCACCAGCCUGAAGUAGCGAAUGUCCACUGCCCCUGGCUUUUUUGGAAGCAAUGUGACUGUAGCUCUGUAGAUCGCAUGUAAUCCACGCAUAUCUCCACCAUGAAACUCCUGCAGGGCUCUCAUGAAAUCAUCCCUGAUGAUAGUCCAACAAGUAGCGUAAAAUUGCCCCGUGAAGCCGUCAGGCCCUGGCGCCUUGUCGAGUGGCAUACUCUUGAUUGCAUGCGUUGCUUCCUGCUCCGAGAACGGCUCUUCCUCGUGUGCCAAGUCGUGAAUAGGCAGCUGCAGCAUCUCCAUGUUAAGGCCAUGUGCCCGUUCGGUGGAUGACCUGAGGAGCCUCGUGAAGUAUGUAUCCACCGCAUUUCCAAUAUUCUCCUGCCCCGUGUGCACUUGGUUCUCAGGGACGAUUGAGAGGAUCACGUUCUUCCUCUGCCUGUGGCUCUCCUGGCAAUGAAAGAAGGCCGUGUUCGCCUCCCCCUCUUUUAGCUGGAGUAACCGCGAUAUUUGCCUCGCAAUUGUGCGCUGUAACGAGCAUAAGCCAAGGAGCAUUUUCUUGAGGUCAUUGCGCAGGCCCCUCUCUUGAUCCGUCAGAAUCCGCGAGUCCAUUUCCCCAUCCAGCCUAGCAAUCACCUGCAGCGCGAUCGCAAUCUGUAGCCUAAUGUUCCCAAUCCACCUAUCACUCCACCGCUGGAGUGCUUUCGCCGUUGCCCGAAGCUUGUUGUCCAACACGACGAAGGCGUUUCCUUCCGAGCUUACCGAUCCCCAUGCAGUUUCCACAGCUUCAUAGAAGCCUUCUGCCUUUGGCCAAAAGGAUUCGAACCUGAAGCGCUUCCCGUAUGCAAAGUCUGCGUUGAUGUCCAGGAGGAGCGGACAGUGGUCCGAGACCGCUGAUCCCAGGGCAGUGAGCAGAGCAGCUGGAUGGGCAUCAUCCCAACAGUUAGUUGAGAACACGUGGUCAAUCUUCUCCUUGGUUGGGCGCUGUCGUUCAUUGGACCAAGUGAACUUGCGGCCCUUGAGGUACAUCUCUUUCACUUCCAGUUGGUUCGCCUUGUUUCUAAACCAGGCUAUCAUUCGCCGAUUGAUCACGUCAUUGUUCUUGUCUUGAGGAUUCACCAACAGAUUAAAGUCACCCAUGAUUGCCCACGGGCCAGCGUGUAACUCACGUACAUCUACCAGCUCUUGCAUGAAUGCGACCUUGUCCAUGUCAGUCUGCGGGCCAUGCACACCGGUGAACCACCAAUGCCCACCGAUCUUGGGCUUCACCAAGAUAGUUAUCGUGUUCAUGGUGCGAUGCGGGUUGGAUUGUCCGACAAUUAUCUCAUCCCAAGCCAGUAGGAUUCCACCCCUCGUUCCGGAGGCCGGCAAGUAGAAGAAAUUCUCUACAUUAAUUCCCAGGUAGUGUCGAACAACAUCCACAGUCAAGUGUUCGACCUUUGUCUCCUGAAGACACACUAUAGCCGGCCUAAUCAUAUCCACGACCUGGUACACGGCACUACGCCUAGCGGGCGAGUUUAGCCCGCGCACGUUCCACACAAGGACUUUUGUAAGGCUGUGAUUCCAUGAUCUAGUCCUAGCAAAGCCACCAAGCAUGCGCAGAUCACUGCCGCGUGCUACGUCUUGAGCUAGCGUUGGUUUUCCCCGAAGAGGAGAGGGUGAUGCAGCAAAUGUAGCGUAAGUAUUUCCCUCGGUUUUGAGAACCAAGGUAUCAAUCCAGUAGGAGACUCCUCAAAAGUCCAACGCACCUACACAAACAAACUGAGAACUCGCAACAAACGCAAUAAAGGGUUGUCAAUCCCUUCACAGCCACUUGCGAAAGAGAGAUCUGAUAGAGAUAGUAUGAUAAGAUAAAUAUAUUUUUGGUAUUUUAUAGUAUAGAUGCAAAAAGUAAAGAUGCAAAUAAAAGUAGAUUGAAAGCAAAUAUGAUAAGAGAUAGAGCCGGGGGCCAUAGGUUUCACUAGAGGCUUCUCUCGAGAUAGCAUAAGUAUUACGGUGGGUGAACAAAUUACUGUCGAGCAAUUGAUAGAAAAGCGCAUAGUUAUGAUAUUAUCUAGGCAUGAUAAUGUAUAUAGGCAUCACGUCCAUAACAAGUAGACCGACUCCUGCCUGCAUCUACUACUAUUACUCCACACAUCGACCGACUCCUUCCUGCAUCUAGAGUAUUAAGUUCAUAAGAAUAGAGCAACGCAUUAAGCAAGAUGACAUGAAGUAGAGGGAUAAACCCAUGCAAUAUGAUAUAAACCCCAUCUUGUUAUCCUCGAUGGAAACAAUACAAUACGUGUCUUGCAACACUUUUUGUCACUGGGUAAGAACACCGCAAGAUUGAACCCAAAGCUAAGCACUUCUCCCAUGGCAAGAAAGACCAAUCUAGUAGGCCAAACCAAACUGAUAAUUCGAAGAGACUUGCAAAGAUAACUCAAUCAUACAUAAAAGAAUUUAGAGAAGAUUCAAUUAUUAUCCAUAGAUAAAUCUGAUCAUAAACCCACAAUUCAUCGGAUCUCGACAAACACACCGCAAAAAGAGAUUACAUCGAAUAGAUCUCCACAAGAGAGGGGGAGAACAUUGUAUUGAGAUCCAAAAAGAGAGAAGAAGCCAUCUAGCUAAUAACUAUGGACCCGUAGGUCUGUGGUAAACUACUCACAACUCAUCGAAGGGGCAAGGAUGUUGAUGUAGAGGCCCUCCGUGGUCGAUUCCACCUCCGGCAGAGUGCCGGCGAAGGCUCCAAGAUGGGAUCUCGCGGAUACAGUAGGUUACAGCGGUGGAAAUUGUGUUUCGUGGUGCUCCUGGAUGGUUUUGGGUUCCGUAGGUAUAUAUAGGAGGAAGAAGUACAUCGGUGGAUGCCCGAGGGUCCCACAAGACAGGGGGGCGCGCCCUACAGGGGGGGCGUGGCCCCUAUCUCACGGGGUCCUUGGGAGCUUCUUGACUUGCACUCCAAGCUCUACGGAUCUUGUUCGUUCCAAAAAUCACGCUCCCGAAGGUUUCAUUCCGUUUGGACUCCGUUUGAUAUUCCUUUUCUUCGAAAUACUGAAAUAGGCAAAAAAAAUAACAAUACGGGUUGGGCCUCUGGUUAUUAGGUUAGUCCCAAAAAUGAUAUAAAUAUGUAGAAUAAAGCCCAUAAACAUCCAAAAAGGGUAAUAUAAUAGCAUGGAACAAUAACAAAUUAUAGAUAAGUUGGAGACGUAUCAAGCAUCCCCAACCUUAAUUCCUGCUCAUCCUCGAGUAGGUAAAUGAUAAAAAAGAAGUUUUUGAUGUGGAAUGCUACCUAGCAUAAUUCGUAAUGUAAUUUUCUUUCAUGUGGCAUGAAUGUUAAGAUCCAAAUGAUUCAAGAUAAAAUCUUAUAAAACAUAAUAAUAAUAAUGCUUCAAAGCAUACUAACAAAUAAUCAUGUCCUAUCAAAAUAGCAUAGCCAAAGAAAGCUUAUCCCUACAAAAUCAUAUAGUCAGGCCAUGCUUCAUUUCCAUGACACAAAAUACUCCCAUCAUGUACAAUCCCGAUGACGAGCCAAGCAAUUGGUUCAUACUUUUUAACGGGCUUCAGCUUUUUCAACUCUUACGCAAUACAUGAGCAUAAGCCAUGGACAUAACACUAUGGUGGUAUUUGGUGGUUGUAAGGACAAAAAGAGGGAUAAGAUAGUCUCACAUCAACUAGGCGUACUAAUGGGCUAUAAGGAGAUGCCCAUUAAUAGAUAUCAAUGUGCACUACUAGGAAAAGGCCUACUAAUGGCGCACCGGUUUUGCCUACUAAUGGCGCACUACCGGUGCGCCAUUAGUAGCACGCCACUAGAAUUUUUUACUAAUGGCGCAUCGCUGGUGCGCCAUUAGUAUCUGGUAUACUAAUGGCGCACCAAGAAGUGCGCCAUUAGUAUGUAACACAAUGCACCAUUAGUAUGCCUCCCGGGGGGGCAUAUGUAACCAUGUGCUUUGUCAUACUAAUGGCGCACUCUGCCUUGAUGCGCAACAAUACAAUACGUGUCUUGCAACCCUUUUUGUUACUGGGUACAAACACCGUAAGAUUGAACCCAAAGCUAAGCACUUCUCCCAUGGCAAGAAAGACCAAUCUAGUAGGCCAAACCAAACUGAUAAUUCGAACAGACAUGCAAAGAUAACUCAAUCAUACAUAAAAGAAUUCAGAGAAGAUUCAAUUAUUAUCCAUAGAUAAAUCUGAUCAUAAACCCACAAUUCAUCGGAUCUCGACAAAUACACCGCAAAAAGAGAUUACAUCGAAUAGAUCUCCACAAGACAGGGGGAGAACAUUGUAUUGAGAUCCAAAAAGAGAAGAAGCCAUCUAGCUAAUAACUAUGGACCCGUAGGUCUGUGGUAAACUACUCACAACUCAUCGAAGGGGCAAGGAUGUUGAUGUAGAGGCCCUCCGUGGUCGAUUCCACCUCCGGCAGAGUGCCGGCGAAGGCUCCAAGAUGGGAUCUCGCGGAUACAGUAGGUUACAGCGGUGGAAAUUGUGUUUCGUGGUGCUCCUGGAUGGUUUUGGGUUCCGUAGGUAUAUAUAGGAGGAAGAAGUACAUCGGUGGAUGCCCGAGGGUCCCACAAGACAGGGGGGCGUGGCCCCCUAUCUCGUGGGGUACUCGGGAGCUUCUUGACUUGCACUCCAAGCUCUCCGGAUCUUGUUCGUUCCAAAAAUCACGCUCCCGAAGGUUUCAUUCCGUUUGGACUCCGUUUGAUAUUCCUUUUCUUCGAAAUACUGAAAUAGGCAAAAAAACAGCAAUACGGGCUGGGCCUCCAGUUAGUAGGUUAGUCCCAAAAAUGAUAUAAAUGUGUAGAAUAAAGCCCAUAAACAUCCAAAAAGGGUAAUAUAAUAGCAUGGAACAAUCAAAAAUUAUAGAUACAUUGGAGACGUAUCACCGCGCAUCUACCUCUGCCACUUCCUCCUGGAGGGGGAGGGCCGGUGCCUCCCACCCAAACAACGCCAGUAUAGCCGCGAUAUGAUGGUCGUUAUGCGGCUUGGAGAAGAGAUCCACAUAGAGUUGUAGAGCUCGUCCGUGAUCACCUCCGCUUCGUUUGCAAGGCACAGUCUCUGGAUUAGGACAUGCUGCUGUUUUGAACCUACCGAGCGACUUCCCGGACCCUUGGCCAGGCGCACACUCCUUCUCGGGCUCGAGACCGGUGCCCAUUUUUUCCUUGGUCUUCUCUUGUCUUGUGGUGGUGCACGGUCCGCAGGCUUGGAAAGAACUGGGUCCAGGAUUCUCCGGGCAGAGGUACAAAAUUGGUUCAGCUCGUCACAUGGAUCUGCAACCGGAGUCCACACCUCCUCGCUCAUGGCUGCGCCCCGAGUUGGCGACUGCUCGGGCCCAUCAGAAAGACUCGCCAGGAACGUGGGUUCCGCCAUCAUGCAUGCAUGCAAACCCUCCACUGGUGUUGGCUCGCCACUUGUUGUGUCGCCAUCUGGCGUGGAGAACAAGGGCGAUCCACUGUCCGCACCAACCUGGCUGUCCCCCAGGGAAUCGAGCAUGAGAUCAUGCCGUGGCAGGCAUGUGGGGUCCCGAUUGGCAUCUACUGGCAGAUCCAGAUACCAAUCACCAAUGAGGAUGGAGCGUUCUGGGUUGAUGGUGGCGUUGGCGGUGGUACAGCCACCCAUCCUCGGGCUGCGCGCGGGUCCAACCAGCAGGGCCAACCCAGAAUCCGGUCGUCCCAUCCUGCCGUUGGGCUGGUUCACCGAGACAGGACACUGCGCAGAUGACUCAUUGUCGCCCUCCGGUUGGUGGGAGAUCCUUCUGGAGCCGCAAGACAACCCGCCCUGUCCCAUAGCCACGUUUUCCCGUGCCUCCUCUUGGUCCACCCUGGCCUGGCUUUCCACGUGUCGCCCUAUGAGAAGACCGCCCUGUCUUUCCACUUGGUCCACCCCCAGGCUUGACCGCCUGAUGUCAGCCCCUUGGGAUGGCUGCAUGGGGCCGCCCUAGCCCACGGGGCCCCCGUCACCCGGAGGCGGCGCGCACCCAUGCGACCUCGCUGGCAGCGCAGACGCCGUCGAGGACCGCGGAGAUCCAACUGGGCUACGAGGCGAAGGCCCCCGAGGCACAUACCCAUCGCGCCCAUGAUGGGCCUGCCUGUCAUCUUCCUCAUCCCCGUCCGUAGACAGCGGCGAUGGAGGGGGUGGGUGGUGACCGGACGUGCUGCCACCCGGCCUAACAGGUGGCGCUUCCCGGAUGAUCUCCACGAGAUACCACAGAGCGUCGACGCCUUCCACGCGCCCAUGGCCACUCCGGCUGGACGAUUCUUCCACGACUAGGAUGCGGCUCACAGGAACUCGGUCCGGGUCAUCCUUCUUUAGCAAAACGCGGAACCGCGACAUGUCGUGGCGCCGAGCCGUGCUGUCGGCCACCUUGACCACGACGCCAGUUCCGCGCAGCACCUCUUGCGCAGCCCGCCGAGUCCAGGCGUUCGCCGGAACACCAACCAGUGCAAGCUGCACCAGGAACGGCAUGCCAAUGCCGGUGGCCUGCGCGUGGCGACUCCACGGACGAAGUGAAAGAAAGAAACCCCGCGCUAGGGCCCGACCUCUAUCCACCAUCAAAUCUCUAAUGGCCUCACUUCCACAGAGACUUACUUUCCACAAACCAAAAUAUCUGAUGAUAAUAGAAUCGACUGAGACUUACUUUCUCAGUCGGCUUACAAUUAUCAAAACCAUAAACAAUAUGGUCAGGAAAGUUUGAUCCAAUAGUUCUUUAUAAUUAGAACCCGUCGAAAUAAAACACAUGCAAGGGUCUUCAAGUUUGGCACCAUUGAAAUAAGGGGCAAGCCCCUGCUGAACGAGGCUCUCGGCAUGCGUUGGGUGUGGUUUGAGAAGACGGCGCUGGACAAGCCUUGGUUGGGGCUGUAAAUGCCCAUUCCACCUGCAAGUCAGAGCCUUGUGCUUGCGGCUCUCUACUGCCAGGUUAGGAAUGGUGAAAGAGUAAACUUCUGGCAUGACGGGUGGAUCGACGGCCGUAGCGUCGCGCAGAUUGCUCCCCACCCGCUUCCCUUCAUCAGGCCCGCAAGCAGGGCAAUGUGCAUGGCGCAAGCCCUUCUUGGCAACACAUGGGUUGACGAGAUCCGCCGCACCCCCUCCAUACCAGCGAUAGCGGAAUUCUUGGAGCUAUGGGAGCGGGCUUCUUCCUUGCGAAACAUAUGCCGCCUUCUUCCUUGCGAAGGAGCGGGCUCCCUAUGCUGAUGUGAUCUGGAGAUCAUGGCCCCCCCUGGAGAUCAAGAACUUCAUUUGGUGGCGGUGCGAGGUCGACUAUGGACAGCGGAUAGGCUCACGCGCCGAAACCUGCCUCAUACUAGGCUUUGCCAGCUAUGCUGCCAUGUGGAUGAAGACACGACGCAUAUGCUGCUUGGAUGUCCCUUUUCCAGGGAAGUUUUGUAUCACACGAUCCUCCCCUUGCGUUUGCACAGGUUCACACCCGAUGGCUCCGCCUCCUUGGCAGACUAGUGGCCGACGAUAGGGGCUUAAACUCUGUCUAACUGGCAUAGAGAGCUCAACACCUGCAUUGCCGCAACCGUACGAUCCAUCUGGCUUGAUCGGAACGCUAGGGUUUUUCUGCGCAAGUCCACCUUGCCUGCGUCCAUUGUUCAUGCAUGUUGCCUGCGUCCGUCCUUGCCUUACAGUCCGUCUUGUAAACCCCUUUCAAAGGACAUGCAAUGCUCAUGCAUGUUCUUGAAAAAAUAAAUAAGGGGCAAGAUGCCUUCAUUACAACAAACCAAUCUGCAAGAGACAGAUCACUCGUGCACGUCACUCCCUAGGCGACGCCAGGAGCAAAGCUCCAUGCCGCCGCCAACAGCCAUCCGCUGCAGCCUCCCCUUCUGCCACUGCCACUGGCCUCUACUGCAGUGGCGGCAGGCCCAUAUCCGAAGGAGGUGGGGUUUCCUUCAGGCGUGCUGCAAGAGGUGGACAUCAGCCUGUGUGGGGAGACGCCGAUGGGGAAAGGAUGGUAGCGCGACGACCCUAGUUGUAUUCUCCUAUCCAAAUUGCCGAUCUUCUAGGUGCCGGUCGUCCUCGAUCUGGCAGCCGACAAGUUCUGGACUCCUCAAUCGACGGUGUUCACGGAUUGGUGCAUGGCACUCAUGGACCUCUAGAUCGGAUGGGAUCCGGUCAUGCGCGUCUCAAAACAUCAACUCGCGCGGCUUCAGAUUCGCAUUCUGAAGCUUCGCCGUCGACACCAAGGGGUAUAUCCGCUAUGAUCCAUGGUGUUAACAGAGGUGUAUCUUUUCUCUGGUUAACUUGUCAUGUAUUUUUUACACAUAAUGGAUUAUGUACGAAUAAUGUACGGAAAUGUUAACGCCCACACGUGUGGGCGUUUGCAUCUCGCCCACACGCGUGGAUCCGUGUCCGUUCAUGAGCGCACGAAUCUUGGCAUGUUUUUAGUGCCACGUAGGACUGGUCUGAUGUGUGGGCAUUCAUCCGGUCGCCCACACGGCCGUUUCACCACACGGGAGGGGCUGGUGUGUGCGCGUUGAGCAGUUCACACACGCCACUUUUCACGCACGCACAAGGGCUAGUGUGUGGGCAUUUGCCAUCUCGCCCACGCGCCCGUCUCCUCUCCCUCACCCAAGCUGCUAGUUGCCAUGUGCUUUGAAGUGCACAUGGCAACUUCCCUAGUGUGCUUUAUAAGCAGGUGGCGACUCUAUUUUUACCCGAGUUGCCAUGUGUUUUGUAGGGUACACGGCAACUUUCUAAUAUGCACGUAAGCAGAUGACAACUCUUUUUUACGGAGUUGCCAUGUGUUUUUGCAUGGUACAUGCCAACUGCCCUAACGUGCACGUAAGUAGAUGACAACUCUUGCUUUUACAUGGCAACUGCCCUAGCAUGCUUCUGAGCACAUGUCAACUCUCUCAACUGCCUAGUGUGAGUAUGUGGCACCUCCUUAAGUUUUGAAACCAUGGAAACUACAUUAGACCAGGCCAUACAUGGCAACUGCAGUUGAGCAACCAUGGCAACUGCAGUUGUUCGACAGGACAACCGUAGUUUAGCGACAUGACAACUGCAGUUAAACGAACAUGGACGAGAGUCUGGACCAUGGCAACUGCACGCGCGCGGUGACUGUCACACGUGGCAUUCGGGACCACGAGGUACGAAGCCUGACGUACGGGGCGUGUGGGCGUUAUCUACUUCAUCCACACGCACGCGUGUGAGUGGGUCAGGAGGGAAAAAAAGUGAUGUGUGGGCAUUACUUGUUUUGCCCACAGAUAGGUGUGUGGGAUGUUCCUCUUAUAUACCACACAAAAUGUGUGAGCAGAUUUUCUAACGCCUACACGUGUGACACUUAUCGGUGUCCAUAACGUAAGAUGCAAAUAGACUAGAAAUUACUAAGACGAUGCUUCGGUACACAGGCCAACGGAAUGACCACAAUAGCUUGUGUAGAGUGAAGAUUUGGUUACUUGCAUCAAUCGAUAGCUGAAUCUAUUAUUUUCUCUUCAAAAAUUUGCCUAAAAGAUCUGGUUACAGUCAAUACACGCGGAACCUUAUUUUGACUUUACCAGUGAUACAUCCAGUCGUCAGUCGUGCCAUACUGGGCAGGAUUUACCGCCUGAUAAAAUACCAAUGCUAUCCACUGCGGAAUUCUUCUCAAAGUUUCUAGUCGCGGCCACGUUGUUCUGGUCGGCAGGUCGAGCUCCUCAAAUCGUCGGCAAUCACCGUGCAAGCAUGGACCAAAUAGCAAGAAGACUGUGAGGUGCCUAGGGAGAGACUAGAAGGCCGCGCCUUGUGGAGCCCCAGUUUUAAUUUUUAGCAGGGACAUCUUCAUUGGGGUAUAUCAUUUUUAGGCCUUUUUUUGGUAAAAUUACAUGCAUAGACUUACAUGUAUUUAUGUGUACAACAUGAAAAUAUAUGUUCAUCGUUGCAACCAAACUCAGAAAGGUAACAAAAUUCCGAUACCAAUCUAUAUUAAAAAAAUCCUACAAAAAUUGAAAAGGCAGAUAACUAAUUAUGCAGUUGUAUGAUAAUGGAAAGCGAUUGACGGCCCUGUAUGUACUUUUAGUGUGUCACGACGUAGCUUGGUCUUACUAAUAUUAUUGCACAAGCAUUUGGUCCAUUCGAUGCUAUAGUCACUUAGUAAAAUUUACUGAAGUACAAACAUAAUACUAAUUACAUAGGAUCGACAUAUAUGUAAAGUGUCACACAAGUUGUUAAUAUUCAGUAAAUUUUAUGCAACUAAAAGGAAAAAUUGCGCAACUUAUUUUUGCACUACGGGCGGUGAAUAUAUCGCUCAAUAGGUGACAUGAAAAUAUCUUGUUGUUGUAGGUUAUGUGUUCUUAUUUCUACAUCAUACAUCAUUAUAUCUAUCUAUCAGUAUAUCUAUCUAUUACUAAUUACAGACUUCCAUGGAGCUCACACGUUAAUUCUCAGCGCUUAAAAAAUAUGUAUCGUUGAUCUAUUGACACUACUAGGGAAAAGCCUAGUAGUGACGUGGGUAAACUCUCUAAUAGUAGCGCAGGCCCCGCGCUACUACAGUCACACCACAGCUAAAAAGUUUGUAGUAGCGCGGGUGCCACCGCACGCUACUAGAAUGUUAAUAGUAGCGCGGGUGCCAUCCGUGCUACUACUAUUUUUGCGCCCGCGCUAAUACACUUUAUAAUAACCACACACUACCAGUAUCCUAAAUAGUAGUAGCACACAGUUUUUUCCCAAGCUACUACUAUCUAAUUAAGAAUUUAAAAAAUUCACCAAUUCUAUUUUAUGCAUAAACUUCUGGCAAUUAAAACAAACCUAGAUAUGCAAUCACGUUAAUUGCAACUCAGUUAGGAUUUUGGACAGGGUAUUGUGAAGAAUGUUAAUUGCAAAUCAAAUCAUCAAUGGUAACAACACUUAGAGGACACAUUUCAAGGCUAUGGUUAUAUUAACACAACGUGGUAGUGGUCCUCAUGAUACAGAAAAUGUGAAGUAAUAGAGCAUACUAUUUCAAUGUUGCUCUUGAGAUAACACUAAAGUGCAGGGACAUGGGAGUGGUCUCACGAUGCUUGUGAUUACGAUCAUCGUCGUUGUCAUCACUAAUUUCAUAGUUUUCAGUAUCUAUAGCAGCUUCCUAAUCGUUGGAAUUACUUUCUUCCUAUGGUGAUGGAACUCCAAUUUUGCCAUCAUCCAAUGCUUGAUCUAUUGACCCUUUGUGCAUCUUCACGAUAGGCGAAUCCACAAGAAAAAUUCAACUUCGCAUCUAGAUUGUAUCCAUUUCCUUGGCCAUGUUCAAGAAACACUAAAUUUAGAGCUUUAUCUACCUUAAAUACAUGAGGCAUCACGACAGAAAACAAAAGAUGAGCAAUAUCAUAUGAGCAGAAUAAAAAGCAGUUUGGAAUAUAGCACCACUAACUAUAAAAUAAUAUGCUCUAACAACAGCAAGAGUGCAACAUUGCCCCCCUUUCAAAUAUCAACACACUAAAAGAGGCUAUAAGACUCAACUAUUCGAUGCCCACUUCGAACACUAACAAGAUUAUGUAAAACAUGCCAGUCCAUGGAUCAAGGAAAACUACCUGAGCUCCAAUAGAAUACUCUCAAUUAAAACAAGCUUGUUCUCAAUGAUGGGAGAAUCAACUUGCUUCAACUGUAAUCAAUCGGGAUUUUAUUCUUACCAUGCAUGUCCAGGGGUAAUUAAGCAAAGCAAACUUUUUCCAUCUCUGGGAAGAUGCACUCUCGCAUCCGUAAGUGCAUUACUCAUUCAUUCCUAGAAUUUGUUUCUCAGUACAAUAGAUGAAAAUGGGUGACAUAGUUAAGAAAAUGGCAUGAACAUCAUCUUGUCUGGCUGAAAACUACAUGGAAGCAGAUUUGACUUACUACUGAACCCAUCAUUCACAAAUUCCCUCACGGACGUUGGCACCUUCAGAGCAGCAGAAAUGGAACAUUCAGAGAUAAAUUUUAGCAGCCACAAACACCUUCAUCAAUUGACAGUGUUCAGAAGGAAAAGAAAUAGGGUGGCCUAUAUUCAACUCAAAGGCGACGAUAGUGAGGAUGGCCAAGAUGGAGCUAUGAGUGGUGUGGUCACCUUGGAUGCUUACAAGGGAUUACCAGGGUCCUUGAGCACGAACGCACACAUCGCCUUGGCCGGUGCGAGCACGCCACAGGCCGCACGGGCCAGUCAUCCGUCAGCUCGCACUAGUAGAAAAAGGGCCAAUUGUCCCGUUUCGUAAGGGCCUUUUGUCCCGAUUUUGGAACCGGGACUAAAAGGUCGUUACUAAUGCCCCUGACCUUUAUUCCCGGUUCUUACACAAACCGGGACAGAUGGGUCUCCACAUGGCUGGUGCGGCGAGCCCAUGCAGGAGGCCCUUUGGUCCCGGUUGGUGGCACCAACCGGGACCAAUAGGCAUCCACGCGUCAGCAUUUCAGGUGCUGGGGUUUUUGUUUUUUUGGAGGGGGGGGGGGGUUAGGGGGUUUUGGGGGGUUAAUUUAGGUGUUUCGUAUAUUGUGUUAGCUAGCUAAUUAAUACAUAGAAGUGUCCUCUCUUAUCUCCGUGCUUGGUCGACCCUACGUACUAUACAUAUAGAGAGGACUAGACACGCUAGCUAGUAAAUAAAUGAAGGAAACAGAAGAUCGUCAUGAACAUAUCUAUACAGAGAGAAGUGAUAUCGACCACCUCUCCUUCUCUAAGAGAUUGGUCGAACAACAAGUUCUUGUAUAUCUAUCCUACGCUACUGGCUACAUAUAUACAAUAUAAUUAUCUCCUACAAUAUAAUCUCCUAAUUCCAAAUGAACUCAAGGUCCACAUGGUAUUCUCUGUCUUUACUGAUCACGUGGUCAAGAAAGAAUGCCGCCAGUUCCUUUGAAGUCCUCGCAUACGAUCUGGUGGUAGGAGUUCAUCCCGCAUACGAAAUAUCUAAUUUGAAGAAGGGAGUCAAUACAUAUAUACGAAUAAAUGAAACUGAACACAAAUGAUGGUAAUAAAAUAAAAUUGUCAAUAUUAUUAUUUACACACUUCAUAUUGUUUGUCGGAGUAGCCCCGCUCACAGAUCGUGUGGCGGAUGGACUCGCAAAUGUAGUAUCCACAAUAAUUAUUCCCUUGUUCCUACCACAACCACUUUACAAGAAAUAGAGGUCAAUCAAACCAAUAAUUAGCAAGCAUGCUAAAUGGUAUUGAUGAAACUAGUGCUUGAAUCACUAGGAGAUGCGUGGAACAUGCUACUAUAGUACUUACUUUCGGGUGUCUAAGUUCCAGCUUCUUCGGCAGUCCCGGAGUUUUUGAGGUGAAUUUAUUCCAAACCCUGCCAGACAAAGAAAACAAUUACUUGAUAUCAGGAAACGAACAAAUUGAAGUUGCCGAUAUGGUGCGAUAAUGAUCGAUUUAACUUACUUCUCUAGAAUUGCAGUCAUGUCCGCAUACUCCUUGGGAUCUUUUCGUCUCGAGUCUAAGACGGUUACUAGUCCCUGCUCAAGCUUAAUCUCUAGGAGAAUAUAGUGAAACCUGCGCACGCAUGCAUAACUCAUCAAUUACAUUACUAUAACCUCGACUAAUAAGGGAAACUGAAUAUGCAUAAGAUAGUAACACUCGCUGGAAUUCGUAAGGGAAGAGUAUUAUAGCUUUGUUUUGAUUUAAUACAAACGAUUGUAGCAGCUUUGCCUCGGUAUCUUUGGCCUAAAAUUUAACCAUAUAUGCAUCUAUGAGAUUUGUGUUAAUGAACACAAUAUAACCGAUUUUUCUUUUCUUCAACUCAGCGAUCUUCAAUCUACAUAAUAUAGUGAGGAUAAUUAAAAAUGCAUGCAAUGAAAGAGCUGACCUAUAUCGAGAGACUUAAUGACAGAAGUAGUACUAUUUACAGGCAGUAGCAAGUGAUCAUUAACUUAUCGAAGGCCUUUAAAUUGAAAAAGUCGAAGAACUCCUCAAAUGGAACAUUCAACAGUUCAAUUCCAACGAGGUCAUGCUCCUCUCUAACUCUCAUCUUCAAAAUAUUCCUCGCCUCAGACUCUCUGCAGGUUUUCAUAUACCAAUCAUUGAAUCUUCGCAUCAUCGUUGUUAGAGAUCUUUCAUCUUUGACGAGAGUCUUCCCCUACUCGUAUUUGUGUUCGUCCACCUCCAUUAUAUCAAAACGUGCAUCGUCGGGAAGGUAAUCUCCAAGAUCGUUAUAACCGGGCACCAUUGUCCCGCCCGAAUGAUUAGCGAUGACGCUAGACACCUGGAGCGGGGGGAACGAUUGGUUCACUUGUUCGCCGAGCUGGGCAACUUUUUUCCCAGCUCGUCGUUCUGCUAACUUUUGACCACUGACAGUACUUCCCGACUGCUCUGCUUCGAUAAAUGACUUUGUAAGAAUGCGCUCAUAGUUGCCUUUCAUCAGAGACUUUGGUGGUUUUUCAGGGCAGCCAGAGUAUGCUUCGCUUUUACCGGAUCUAUCUUCUCCUCCGAAGGUGGAUUUUUCUUUGCUUUCACCCCUUCAAAGAAGUUGGUCACUUAGGCUUGCACGAUCUUCAUGUUUUCCUCCUGGCUCCUCUCGUAUGGUAACUUCUCUGGAGUCUUCAAAGAAGGACUGUAUCUGUAUUGUCUGCCUCUGGUUGUACUGCUAGAUGCCGGAGCAGACGGAGCGGUUGCGGCUGUCUUUCCUUUCUUACGAGGAAGAGGAGAAGGAAGACGCGCCAGAGCAGCCGGAGCGGCGGCGGGUCCCUUCCGCCCUUGUUGACGAGGAGGAGAAGGAGGAGGCUGGCUGCUUGGGUGCACCGGCGCAAGCAGAGAAGGAGGCGGAGUGCCGCCACGUGCCGGAGAAGGAGGCUGAGUGCCCUGAUCACUUGCCGGAGGAGGAGGCGGAGUGCCCUGACUCGCCGGAGGAGGAGGAGGAGGCGGAGACGUCCAGUUCGGAAGGUUGAUGAGCUCCUUCCGACAUAGGCAUGGAGUCUUCAGAGAAGAACCUAGCCGAAUCUCCCCUUCACCCGUAGGGUGGUCAAGCUCAAGGUCCUCAAAUCCGUCCAUUAUUUGAUACACCAUCACCCUAGCAUAUCCUUCUGGAAUCGACCUGUCGUGGUAGGUUGUGCCAGAUUCAGUAGGUAAAACAGAGCCAACAGCCGCCUUGACUUUCAAUGUCAUCCAUCGAGCCAUAAGGUGGAAAUGUUGAGACUCCGUGAUAGCAUCCACGGGGUAGCUAGCAGGAGCUGUGAAGACAGGCUCCAGCUGCUGAGUCUGCUCGGUGGAAGUCACGCUUCUUCUCCGCCGAGAUGGUGGGGUAGCUUCAAGGGAAGCUUCGGCAGGUUGUUUGCUGCAUCUACUUCUUGUUCCUCUAGCCCUUGUACCCUUUCGUGCAGCGCCUAUAGUUGGCUAUGCUCCACUUUCUUCCUCCUCUCCUGGCUUUUGUAACCCCCUGCGUCCGGAAACCCAGCCAUCCACGGAAUGGAGCCUGGCAUGUCUCGUGUCCGUCUAGGUUGCUCGGGAUUCCCGAGGGCCAUUGUGAGCUCGUCGUUCUCACUGUCUGGAACGAACGUCCCUUGCUGCGCUUUCUCGAUAUACUCCUGAAGCCUCCUGACGGGUAUUCACCGUUGCUCUUCCUUCCAAACGCACUUCCCUGAUACAGGGUCCAAGGUUCCGCCAACCCCGAAGAACCAAGUCCGGCAACGGUCUGGCCAGUUCAAUGUCUCUGGUUCGACCCCUUUAGCAAUCAAGUCAUUCUCAGCCUUGUCCCACAAAGGUUGGGCUUUGAGGUAGCCACCUGACCCCGUGCGAUGGUGAUGCUUCUUCUUUGCAACAUUUUUCUUGUUUGUCGCUGACAUCUUCUUACUCUUUUCCGAUGUCUUGUGGGCCACAAAUGCGGGCCAGUGAUCUUUGAUCUUCUCAUACUUUCUGAUGAAUUCUGGUGCCUUUUCUUCAUCGACAAAAUCUGUUUUUAGCUCAUUCUUCCUCCUCCUGAAUAGUUCUUCCAUCUUCUUAAGAGCAUGAGACUUUAUCAAUUUCUCUUUAACUGGCUUCUCCGGAUCCUCCUCUGGCGGUAGGGUGAAAUUUUCCUUAAGCGUUGUCAAAAGAUCUUCUUUCUGCAUAUCGGAGACAUAAGACACCUCAGGGUCUUCUUUCUUAGGCUUUAACCAUUGGUGGAUAAUGAUCGGGAUCUUGUCCAUAACAAGAACCCCGCACGGAGCAUGAAAUGCAUCUCUUGUCCGGAUGGGUUCAAUUAGCUUUCCAUCAUGCGCGACUGCUAUGAUCUCAAACCUUUCAUCUGAGCGCAACUUUUUCUUCGGGCCUCGUUUCUUUAUCGAAGUUGUGCUCGAUUCAGAGGGCUAGAGAGGAAAAGAAAGACGAGAGUUAAUUAAUAUGUGUACAUAAGAAAACAAUGAAUGCAUCAAUUAGCAAGUCAGCACGGGCUUAACUAAUAUAUAUCCCUGCCCGGACUCGGUUCGGUCACCGGAGCCGUCAUCACGGUCUCCUUCCUGUACCUGCAUUGGGUCAUCAGAGCCAUGAUAAUCAUAGCCUUCUUCUUGUACCGGCAUUAAUGGGUCACCGGAGCCAUCAUAAUCAUAGCCUUCUUCUUCACUACCUCGUCCUUCCAGACCAUCGGUGUCGUUGAGAAACGACGCAACGACAUCACUUCCUUUUGUGAUUAUGUCCCCCAACAUCGCUUCUGUUGCUUCGUCUCGGGGGUGCUCCGUAGUUUCUGCAAAUAUUUUCAACAUGGAAAUUAUUAUUCAAACAUGACAGAUGGAUAUAUAUUAGUGGCAAACAUAGAACUAGCUAGCUACUCACAAGAAGGAAUCAUAUUAGUGGCCUCGACGCUGCUUCUAUAAGGUUUGGGGUGGCCUCGACAACGCUUCAAGGGUUUGGGGUGGCCUUGACACAAUGCUUCAAGGGUUUGGGAUGGCCUCGACGACAACGCUCUUUUAACUUGAUAAAUUUGGGUGGCCUCAAGAGAGUUUGUCGGGUAGGGGCGCGGCAGGAGGGGGCAGGAGACCAACAUCGUUUNNNNNNNNNNNNNNNNNNNNNNNNNNNNNNNNNNNNNNNNNNNNNNNNNNNNNNNNNNNNNNNNNNNNNNNNNNNNNNNNNNNNNNNNNNNNNNNNNNNNNNNNNNNNNNNNNNNNNNNNNNNNNNNNNNNNNNNNNNNNNNNNNNNNNNNNNNNNNNNNNNNNNNNNNNNNNNNNNNNNNNNNNNNNNNNNNNNNNNNNNNNNNNNNNNNNNNNNNNNNNNNNNNNNNNNNNNNNNNNNNNNNNNNNNNNNNNNNNNNNNNNNNNNNNNNNNNNNNNNNNNNNNNNNNNNNNNNNNNNNNNNNNNNNNNNNNNNNNNNNNNNNNNNNNNNNNNNNNNNNNNNNNNNNNNNNNNNNNNNNNNNNNNNNNNNNNNNNNNNNNNNNNNNNNNNNNNNNNNNNNNNNNNNNNNNNNNNNNNNNNNNNNNNNNNNNNNNNNNNNNNNNNNNNNNNNNNNNNNNNNNNNNNNNNNNNNNNNNNNNNNNNNNNNNNNNNNNNNNNNNNNNNNNNNNNNNNNNNNNNNNNNNUUUCCUUUUUCCUCUCAUUCUUUUUCUUCUUCUUCCUUUCCUAUAGCUAGAUAUAUAAAACUUCUCUAAAAAUGAAACUAACCUAAAAUGUACUAAAUCAGAGAACAUAUAUAGAUAAAACUUUUCUAAAAAUCUAACUUUUGCAUAUAUGAACAUAUAUACGCAGAGAACAUACAAACAUAUAUACAUUUUUAUAAAAAAAAAUAAAAACAUCAUAUUGUAUAAAAAAUCAUAUACAUAUAAUCUGAAAAAAACAUCAUAUUCUUUAAAAAAAUCAUCAUAUAUAUGCAAAAAAAUAAUUAUGAUAACAAUCAUAUAUAUAAUCAUAUAUAUGAAAAAAACACGCAUAUAAAUCAUCACAUAUAUUAAAAAAAUUAAGAAACAGGGGAGGGCGCCGGCCGGACCAAGGUGAGGAGGGACAGGGGCGCGGGGUCGGCGACGGGGCAGGGGGCGCGCCGGGGAGACGGCGACGAAGGGUCAGGGCAGGGCGACGGCCGGGGCGAUCCGGGGCGACGCGCGUCGAGGCAGGGCCAGGGCGGCGCGCAUCGGGGCAGGCCGGCGAGCGACGACGGCGACGGCGUCGGGGCAGGGCGGCGAGCAGCGACGGCGUCGGGCGAGGGCGCGGGCGACGGCCUCGGGGCAGGGCUCGGCGACGACAGCGACGAGGAGCAGCGUGGGGGCGUCGGGACGGAGAAGAAGUGAUUUUUGCAGAAACUGCUAAGUGUUUCUUAUAUAGCAAAGGACUAGCGAGUAGUGCGCGGCGGCACGCCGCGCCAUAAUGGCAAAGUAGUUCAUACAAGAAAAGAUACAUCAUACAUGCAUAAGUGAUCUACAACAUGUAGUGAUAGUGGUGGCAAUGUAGUUCAUAUAAGAAAAUAUACAUCUAGUUGGUACAUGCAUGAGUGAUCUACAACAUGUAGUGAUAGUGGGUACUGGAAUUGUGAAGCACUUGUUUUCUUUCUAGACCCAAGAUAUUGAUUCUCCUGCUAGAUCUGUCUUUGUGAUGUAGUGGUAGUGAAAUUUACUUCUGAAUCAAACCGCCGCUACGGGUCCUAAGAGACAUCUCAUCACCAACCAAUCUACACAAGUCGAUCCAAUCUGUUCAAAUCAAUCCACAGAAGCUGUGCAAUCCAUUCAAGUUGAUCCACCGAAGCAUGCGCGGCCAACUGUGCGCGGCGGCACGCCGCACCCAUUGGUUCAGUAUGUGUUUCUUUUGUUAUAGCUUUUGAAAAAUUGUUGUACGGUCUGCAUAUGCGUACCUUUGAGCCAGCUCAAGAGUUUUUUACGCCCAGCAGUCUAUUUUUUUUUCCUACAUAUACUUCUUGAACACACUUAACUACGCUUCUCAUAUAGUCACAUUCUCGGCUUUUUUGAAGUGCAGACCAACUUAUGGAGAAAAAAUUAACAUGUAGAAGGUAAAAAAGAUAUGCAACUGAUGAAUCGUUCUUUGGCUUCUUUUCUAUGAAUCAUCCAAGAUACAACAUCCAUAUGUGUGACACUCUACUUAUAUGGAGAUGCCUCAUCUAACGUCUACACCAUCAGGUAGGAAGCAACAUGCCCCAAUUCAAAACUUGUCUCCAUGUAUAAUGUCCCCCUUCUCUAUACAUGUCCCAGCACCACUUGAACCCAUCCCUGAUUGGACAUGAACAUGUGUUACGUGAAAAUUAAGAAAAACUGAUUUGUGGAGAUGUAUUGGAAUACUUUACGUAGGACCAUGGGCCAUAACAACACAAAAUUUUGCACCACAUUAGAAAAUACUUCUAAUUUUGCAACACAAAACAGGCAGCCUAUAAAAAAGACAUUUUUUCUAAUUCGCAGAUCUUCAAAUUUCAACAAUACGAAACCAAUUGAUGUAUUAUAUAGUGCUAGCGAAAAUUGCAGAAGCAUUUGCCUGUUUAGCAAACUGAUAAUUGAAAGUACGUUAGCUGGGCGAGAUACCAUCUGGCUGUCCAUGAACAAACAAACUGGAAGCACACUAUUACGGGAAAAUAGUCUAUGUAGGUGAUAGCAUCCAAGAUCACUAAAAUAUUAUUUAGCGUCUAUGGGCUUCCAGAUGAACACAUAUUUCUGUCUAUAGGCUUCCAGAUGAACACAUAUUUCUGUCUAUAGGCUUCCAGAUGAACACAUACUACAGUCUUGCCUAUAUUCCAAUAACUCUGUGUGAUUAACUGAAUAUGUACCAGCAGGCCAAUAAAAAUGGUACCUACAACACCACAAGGGAGUACCUCAUACAGGUAGCACCAAGCCAGAGACCCAGUCAAUAGUUUGUGUCAACAUAAGCUCGCAGAAUAACAAGUUCAGUCUGCAUAAACAUCAUUUCUCUCCUGUAGGCUAUGGAUUUUACACAGCUAAUGAGUAUGUUCUUAUAUAUUUCAUGCAAUAAUGGUAAUCUGAACCAUGCUUAAGAAAAGCUAUCCUACGCUACUGCUAAACAAAAACUUCUCUCGUGAAGAUACGUGUCAUGGUAACUACAACACGCUGCUUGAAUCUAUACAAUAAUGGUAAUACCUGAACUUGAUAACGGUCAGGGUUAAUCCUAGGUGUGUCGUUCUUACACUUUCUCUCCGUAAUGGGUCAUGCAGUUACUCAUUGCUCAUUUUAUCAAUUACAUUUAAAAAGCUGAUUCUUAGAUCUGUGAUUGCAGCUGACGUCAGGAACCUCAUCUGUAUUUCCCAUGUGUAAUUAUAAUGCAAGGUAUAAAGAAAAUUUAUUACUAAAUGUAUCUAUCGCUUUGUGUCUUUACCUUAUACACCUUCAUAUUUCCCCCUUAAUAUUGAAAACCUUGCUGGGGAGGCUCGGCAUAAUACUCCCAGACCUAUAAUAGAAGUGUAAAAACAGAUAUAUACAGUAAAAUGGACAUGCAGAUCGCAUAUCUUGACUACUAUUAAACUAUCAUCGGAAAAGAAUUAAACUUCCUAAUCUACAAAAUUACCAAAAGAUUAUAGAAGAGAUACAACCCUACUAAAACACGACAGAACCACAAAUCGCAAAUGCAAAUUGAUUCGAGACUUGUUCAGUGUUCACUGGGUGAUGUUAAUCGUCGUGGUGUUGCACAGUGGCACGUGAGGCCAUCUUUUUCUAUAGAUGGCCUAGAUGUAUUAAGAAAUUCAACUUCCAUUUACAGAUUCAGAAUAGUCCAUGGAUAAUUUAGAAUAAUCGGAGGAAAACUUUGCUCUCACAUUGGCUGACAUUGGUAAACAAAAUUUAAUUGAAAUGUAAAUAAGUUCAAGCUGCAAUAUUUUGAAUGCAAGACAGAUCUGUUUGUGACUAUUGCACAUGAAUUUUAGUUUUUUUUUGAAAAAUCACCAGGGGGGAGCUCCCCCACCUGAAUAUAUUUCUCAUUUUUGUAACCCAACGUCUGUCCGAUUACAAAGGUGAAUUACAUAAGCACAUGUAAGCGUGAUAAGAAGUAGGAACGCCAUGAGGAGGUGGCCUGCUUAUGCGCCGUUUUCUUCAUCCGGUGUGUCCAGAGCAUAAGGUCAUCAAUGAUUCGCUUGAGGGUGAAGAUGUUGUGGUGGUUUUGUUGCUUGAAAGUCAUGGCGUUUCUGGAGUCCCAUAUUUUCCAUAUUAGCGCGUCAAGCUGGUUGGGGAGGCGGCAGUCCCAAAGGUUGUCGAUGGAGUUGGGUGGCGACACCUAGAAAUCCUACAGGAGAGACAACAAAGAGCACAACUCGGUAGUGGCAUUAGAUGUUAGGCGGUUCCUUAUGAUUUAUUCUAGACCGUGGUUCAUAACAGCAGCCACACGAGCGAGGGGGGUGGUGGUGUGUGAGUAGAGGCAGGGGAAGAGAGUAGCGAGUGAUUGUUGGUGUAACCAAAUAUCUAGCCAAAAAUAGGUGUUUGUUCCGGACUGUGUGAUGACGAAGGAGAUGGAGUGUAGAGCUGGUAGUUGGUGGUUUAUGGUUUGGCAGAGGAAGGAGUGGCUGUUUUGUGGAGCGAUGAGAGCAUUUGGGUGUUGAAGGUCAAUCCAAUCUUGCCACGGAGUUUGGUCCGGUAGUAGAGCUUUUACAACAAAUUUCAUUAAUAGACAGUUAUUCUGAACAUGGAGAUUUUUUAGACCUAGACCACCUAGCUUUUGGGCUUACUAACAUUUUUCCAGGCAACUAAGCAUUGAGAACCGGUGCAAGUUUCCUCUGUGGCCCAGAAGAAAGCACGACGUAUGGAGUCUAGGGUUUUUAGCACACUUUUUAGGAUGAGAAAGACUGGCAUAAAAUAGACUAAGAUGGAGUCAAGGACAGCAGACAGAACGAUGAGCCGGUCGCCCCUGGAUAGGAUUUUUGCUUGCCAACCUGACAAGAAUUUUCGGCAUCGUUCGAUAAUGGGUAGAAAGGCGUUUGGGGGUAGACGGGUCGGUGCCAGGGGGAGGCCUAGGUAGAUUUGUGGAAAGGUUGAGGUUGUGCAUUGCAUGGUGGUAGCAAUGGAGUCUGCCACAGAAGGGCAAACAUGCAUAGGUACGAAAGUAAUGUUUGUGUAGUUUAUCGUGAGGCCUGUAGCCAUUGCAAAAUUUUGGAGAAUGUGUUUUAGCUGCAUGGCGGCGUCAUUGGAUGCCUUGGCGAUUAUGAGGGUGUCAUCGGCAUAUUGUAGAACGGUCGGUGGCAGGUGUGUGAACAGGAGGUGUGUUAGGUGCCGAGCGUCACAGUGUUGUGUGAUCAUUUGUUGAAGGAGGUCAGCAACGAUGAUGAAAAGGUAGGGUGAUAUGGGGUCUCCUUGUCUGAGUCCGUUUUUGCAGUUUAUCCAGUUUCCUGGGAGCCCGUUCAGCAUGACAGUUGUUUUUCCUGUUGAGAAGAUAUCCUAGAUCCAGGCCGUGAAUUUUGGCGGGAAGCCGCUGAAGUGGAGGAUGGCGUGGAGAUAUUCCCAGGAGAUAGUGUCGAAGGAUUUUGAGAAGUCUAGUUUCAUGACCAUGGUUGGGGCUUUUCGAUUAUGGCAGGAGUCGAUAAGGUCCGUAGCAUAGAUAAAGUUUUCCACGAUGCAACGGCCUGAGAUAAAGCCAGUCUGGUUUCCCUGAACAAGCAGUGGGAUCAGCGUUUUUAUUCUGUUUGUGAGGAUCUUGGCGGCGGCUUUGACGGGACAAUUUUGGAGAGAGAUCGGGCGGUAGGAUCCUGGUGUAUUUGCUUCUUCUAUUUUUGGCAGCAGAAUUAGGUGGGCGCGGUUUAAGCAUUCAGUUUGUGCAGAGAGGUUUUGGAAGUCUGUCAUGAAUAAGAAGAUGUGGUUUUUUAUGAGAUUCCAGUAUUUUCGGUAGAAGGGGGGGCCAAAACCAUCCGGUCCGGGGCUAGCUAGGGGGUUCAUUUGCAUGAAAGCAUCUUUUAUUUCAUCCUGAGAAAAGGUAGAUUCUAUAUUGAGUAGUUGGGGUAGGGGUUGGGGGUAGAAUUGUUGUGGCUGGAAGGCCCAGGAUGUAGGCGGUGCGCAACCUAUGAUGGAUGUGAAGUGUUGCUGAAGAAUGACUGCUUUUUUGUCGUGGGAAUGGAACUCCGUCCCAUUUUGUAGGAGGGAAAUUAUGGUGUUCUUUCGAAGUCUCUGGGAGGCGGUGGCGUGGAAGUACUGAGAGUUCUCCUCACCGUGAAUAGCAGCGCGCACUUUCCCCUGUUGCUUCCAGAAAGCCAUUUUUCCGAAAUAGCUAAGUGCAAGGCAUUUGAGACGACAAGUCUUAACUUGUGUUCGGCUCUAGAGAGUGGCCGGGCUUCUUCUUUUAGGUCGAGGAGGUUUAUGACUUGUUUUGCUGCUGCUUCGCGGAAGUGGGCUGGUGAUUUUUUGGAUGCCCAUUGUUUGAGAGAGGAACGUGUUGUUUUGAGGGCUUUUGAUAGGGCGGCUGCUGAGUUUAUUCAUUGGGCUGAUUGGCGGUUUGUGGCCCAGCAUUUCUGCAUGAUGUGAUGGCAUUCUGUGGAGAGAGUCCAUGCAGACCCGAAUCUAAAGUGGCAUGGUUUUGGUACACCUGUCUGGAUGCGUAGGAUUAGGGGUACAUGAUCUGAUGUGAUGCUUGGCAGUGAGGACAGUGUUGUGUUAGGGAAGUAAUUAUUCCAUGACAGAUUAAAGAACGCCCGGUCUAGUCAUUCUAAGGUUGGAAGAGAGUGUUUGUUAGACCAAGUGAAGCGUCGGUCGAGCAGUGGGAGUUCGAGUAGGGCUAACUCAUUGAUUAUGCUGUUAAAAGCAUCUGCUUCUGGUUGGUGAAAGUUGUGGUUAUUUUUUUCGUGCAAAAAACGUACAAGGUUGAAAUCUCCUACUAUUAACCAGGGCGUGUGAUCGUCUUGUUUUAUCGUUCUGAGUUCAUCAAGAAAAGCUUGUUUGAGGUUGCGACUUGCGGGAGCAUAGACGUUUGUGAUGAUAAAGGGUUGUGGGUGCGCAAGGGACGUGAGUUUGAUCGAUGUGGUAAGGUGGCUGUGCGUGUGCGAGAGCACUAAGAAGUAGUUUGAGUUGAAAGCCAAGACUGUUCCCCCAGCCGAGCCGUCGGCCGGUAAAAACACAUGUUGGUCCAGAGAGCGAGGUAGGAAGGAUCGUAAUUCUUGUUCAGUAAUGACAUUUAGUUUUGAUUCCUAUAGGAGGGUGCAGUGUGGGUUAAUGCUGAUAAGUUCGGAGAGGAUAUCAACACAUUUUGACACAUCACCAAGACCUCGUACAUUCCACGAACAGAUAGAUAGGGUGGUGUUACUCAUACAGAUAGGAAUACAUCAGACACUUAGACGAGAGCAAACUACUGAUAUGAAAUGCUAGGGAGCAAUAGACUAAGGGGUAGUUGAGGCAGACACAAGGUUUGCCCCGUGCACAUAAGCUACGGGAUAAGUAGAUCCGAUCGGCCGAUUCGCGGUAGGGACAACAAGUCACCGCUAGGCCGCCACCUGGGCGUGCGUGGGAUAGUUGGAGCAUCAUGGCAGAGCGUCAGCAUCGCCGUCGUCGCUGCUGUCAUCAGUGUGAGCAACGGAAGCAACAGCAUCGCCGUCAGCCCCGCACAGUGCAGCAAUCUCCGCAAGGGAUGCGGCAGAAGCAGACGGGGCUUUAGGGACAUCGAGCUGGGUGUUGUGGAUGGCGUCCUUGACAGCCUUUGCGACAUCCGAGGCAGUGAGGCGCGCGACUUUUGCCCUGACAGCCCUAGUAGUCAUAUCAAUGAAGACAGAGGGCUCUUUGGCGGCCAGGCGGGAGCUUGCACAUGAAUUAGAACUCAGAACUGCAUUACCUGAUUAAAAUCUAAAAUCCCAUGAAUUCAUAAGAAAAGCUAUCAUGUGGGAAAACUCAGCAAGUAAUCUCACAUAUACGGAAAGCUAAAAGUUUAGGGGGGGUUUCCUUUUCCUCCAGAGAAGCCCAUGUAAAACUGUUUUGGUCGAAAAGUGCAGGCUGACAUAUCUUGUACUCCUCGAUCUUGAAUGUAGAUACUUCCAUAAUCUGAGAUAAGCUCAACAUGAAUAUUGUAACACUUUGUGUUCAGAUCAAUACACACUUGUACUCCUCGAUCUUGAAUGUAGCAUUUGGGUAAAAUAAAUGACAGUACAUUAUCUGAUCUCAUGAACCAACCUAACUCUGAAUGAUGGGCGAAGCAGAACAGGUAAGCGGGACAGUGAGAGCAACCAAAUUAAGACGGGGAGAUGCACUUACAGGAAGGUAUGUGAAGAUUUUUUUCACUUCGAAUGCUUCCAUGCAGCAUCAGCGCGCUGAACAUCCAGCAAAGAAAGAACUAAUGAACAGCAUGAACCAAUAAAACAAAUCAAGAUUAAGGCAAACAUUAACCAAGGGAGAGUAAAGAAAAAUAGGACUGGGAAGGAACGGAGCCACACUAGUCGGAGUCUGCAGCAUGUGCUUGAAGGUGAGAUGCACCGGCACAUGAUGACCUCGCCGGAGCUCUUCUCAUGCCGCUGCUUGACAUGGAUGGUCUGGCCACCGAAGAAAGAAUCCACCCAUCCAGACUGUGAACCUGAAACUCACUAAACCAAGAUAUCAAAAUCAGAUUAAUCCAAUCUAUAGCGGUGAAAUCAACUUGUAAAUUGAGAAUCAAAUCAUGUUGCUAUUGAUCAAUCAUCAAGCACUGUGAGCUGAGUCCACUGGACAUUGUGAGUCAGGUAAUGAUGGAUCAUGAAUUGGCAAAAAUGAACAUACCAUUUGGGACGCAAGAAUCCUUCUGUGGCCUCUUCCCCUCCACCUGUUCGGCCAACGUUGCUUCUGGUGCAGUACUGCACUACUUGACGAAGGAAAGUACGUGACCAUCGUUCAUGCUCAUGCUUGGCUCAGUUUGGUCAAUUGCUAGAACACCUCGCAUGCGAGCUGAACACCAGCAUCGCAGGAGGAAGCAAGCGAGGGGCUAGAGCUAGCGCGGGGCAGAGAGGCUGCUAGAGGAGGCCAGCGUGUCAACCUAGACAGCCUGUUCACGUACCUGCAACAGAACAAUCGUCUCCCGCCCACCCUCCUUCGACGCCGGGCACGUCCUCUUCCUCUGCCCGAGCUGCUUUUUCAAGACUCCAAUGGCAUUGCCGCCCCAUCCUUCAAUGCCAACACCGCCACCGAUGACCCAAGCAGCGAUGGAGGAGCCCCUGGCCAUAUGGUGUGUCCCCGUUUCGUGAUUUUCGUCGCCUUAGGGAAAGAGGAGCGGUGUACUGCAGGAGAGCACGGAGCUCCCUUCGGCCGGUGGUAAGAGAUGAGAUGGAGGGCAUGGGAAGAAGCUCACUCCGGCGGCGUCAAGAGAUGAGGUGGAGGGCAUGGGGGAGGGGGCAUGGGGAAUUGCUGCGGGCCGCUGGCUGACUCGAUCUCGAGCAACUGCUCGGAGGCAAUGAGAGGAGACGUGUGUCUGAUUUAUAUACUGAUAUACUGAGGAGGGGACGUCUCUAGAUAAGUUGACGUGUCGAUCUGGUGAUCCCUCUUUACCUUCAGGAUUACACGCGUGACAUCCAGAUUGACCUGUUGUACACCCAAAAAACUUUUAAAAAAUCAGAAAAAAUAUGCAACGACGCGUGGGACGGGGCCAACAUACCUAAAGCGGCAACAACCCUGUGAAUCGAAUGUGAAAAAUGUAGAGACAGAUAAAAAAGGCAAGAACUCUCUGGAAACUGAUGGUAGACAAGGUAACUACCAUGCCAGGAGAGAAAACAAACUCUUCCAGACACGCGUCAUUUUUACAACAGCGGUAAAAAAAGUUCAAAAAAACCAGGAAAAAAAGAACCCUUAUGGGCCUAGUAUUCUUAGUCUUUGGUCCCGGUUUGUGGCACCAACCGGGACCAAUGCCACCCUUCAGUCCGGUUGGUGCCACCAACUGGGACCAAAGGUCUCUUUUCAGCAGCUCAAAGGGCGGGAAGCAGAGGCCUUUGGUCCCGGUUGGUGGCACCAACCGGGACUAAAGGGGGAGCAUUGAUAUCGGUUGGUGCUACGAACCGGUACAUAUGCACCGCCUUUAGUCCCGCUUGGUGCCACCAACCGGGAUCAAAGGCCCUUGUGUUGCCCGCGUCACGACCAAAGUUUAGUCUCACCUCGUUAGUUGAGAGGGGCGCGCAGUGGUUUAUAAGCCCCACUGCCGCACCCCUCUCGAGCUCCUCUCCAUUCCAGGCUUACGGGUCUAAUUAUUACUGCUAUGAUGAUGGGCCUUCUAGGGCCUGAAUCCGGGCCCAUGGAUGGGUUUCUAGUUGUACUCAGGCCGUGGUGGCCCAGUUGGUGGCAAAAAUUUUAUGUUUUCCCAUUUUUUUCUUUUUUGCUUUAUUUAUUUUGUUUUGUUUCUACUUACAACAAAAUACUUAUUUAUUUCAUUUUAUUUUGUUUAUAAUUACAUACUAAUUUUAUUUUAUGAUAAUUCUUUUUGCUAUUAAAGUUUCUAACAAAAAAAGUUCUUUAUGAAAAUUCUUUUUGCUUUUAANNNNNNNNNNNNNNNNNNNNNNNNNNNNNNNNNNNNNNNNNNNNNNNNNNNNNNNNNNNNNNNNNNNNNNNNNNNNNNNNNNNNNNNNNNNNNNNNNNNNNNNNNNNNNNNNNNNNNNNNNNNNNNNNNNNNNNNNNNNNNNNNNNNNNNNNNNNNNNNNNNNNNNNNNNNNNNNNNNNNNNNNNNNNNNNNNNNNNNNNNNNNNNNNNNNNNNNNNNNNNNNNNNNNNNNNNNNNNNNNNNNNNNNNNNNNNNNNNNNNNNNNNNNNNNNNNNNNNNNNNNNNNNNNNNNNNNNNNNNNNNNNNNNNNNNNNNNAGUUUCAUAAAUUUUAUUUAUGUUAUUAAAGUUUAUUUUUUUUCAUUUUAUUUUGUUUCUACUUAUCUCUUUUAUUAAAGCUUAUAUUAUUUUGUUUCAAAUUACUUAUUUAAUUUAUUUUAUUUUUUUCUGACUUCAUUUGUCAUUUUUCAUGCAUUUACUGAUUAUUUUGAGUUAUAAGACCAUGAAAUUGAAAAGCAUUUGAAAUGAACUCUGAAAAGGUUUCUAGUUGGCAUGGUAUCAUCAUUUCGCCCACAUAGCAUUUGCAAGAAAGUACAGAGGGUUACGGAAAAAACUGGAUGCACUUCGUGUACAAAACAGACAAUCUCCUUCGAAGUAUCAGGGUUUCAUAUGGAAACUCGUCUGUUACAAAGGAAUUUCAUUUUUUUGAACUUAUUUGAACUCCAUAGUUUUUAUGUGUUCAAAACGCACCAUUCAAAGCCACAUCAUCAAUUUACAACCCUUUCUGACUUUAUUUGUUAUUUUUCAUGCAUUUACUGAUUAUUUUGAGCUAUAAGACCAUGAAAUUGAAAAGCAUUUGAAAUGAACUCUGAAAAGGUUCCAAGUUGGCAUGGUAUCAUCAUUUCAACCACAUAGCAUGUGCAAGAAAGUAUAGAGGGUUACGGCAAAAACUAGAUGCACUUCGUAUACAAAACAGACAAUCUCCUUUGAAGUAGCAGGGUUUCAUACGGAAACUCGUCUGUUACAAAGGGAUAUUAUUUUUUUGAACUUAUUUGAACUCCAUAGUUUUUCUGUGUUCAAAAUGCACCAUUCAAAGCCACAUCAUCAAUAUACAACCCUUUCUGACUUCAUUUGUUAUUUUUCAUGCAUUUACUGAUUAUUUUGAUCUAUUGUUGUGCCCUCAUUGCUUAGUACUUCUCAGUUUUUCCCCACCCAACUAAGGUCUCUCACUUUUCCCCUUCAUCAUUCGUCUGACAGUCAAAAAUGCCCAAAACGGAGCGUUUCCGUUGGGUCAAUGUAGUUGACCACCUGAUGCACAUACUAACACGUGGAGCACCCAGGACCCACCUAUCAGCAUUUGGUUUGCGUGGAGCACCCAAGACCCACCUGUCGGCAUCUGGUUUAUUAGGGAAAAACAGUUGACUGAAUGAUGCGUCGAACAUCCCAGAACAUACAUGUCAGUGUCUGAUUUAUUUGCAAACUAAAGGGUGGAAUAUAAUGCCGCCCAUGGGGGUCGAACACCAGAACAAUCGUUGACUAUGCAUAGUGCGAGCCAUUCCACUUGGUUCGUCUUUGUGCUUAUUUUUGCAGAGCCUCGGCUAUAUAACCUAAUAUUUUCUUGCGAUCGUACAUUACAAAAGGGCUCAUGAAUCAGUGACCGUGGAAAGAAAGAACGUGCAGUGUAAAACACAUCGGAUUCAAAUAUUCUGAGAUUCAGAUAAGCCUAACAAGCACGAAAUUUUAACAGGGGCGACAUAAGAUGGCUGGCCGGCGUCGACAUAGGCUACUUGUCUUGAUCGUCCAAAUGGACAAUGCUGCCAUAGUCGUCGUCGUCGUCAUUAUGGUCUUUGUCAUCAUGGGAGGAUAGGAUGACGACGUAUGGUCCCUCACCUUCCGCCUCAAGGGCGGCCGCUGCACGCAGAUUGGUGGCCCUCCUGUUCUUCAGGCUCCCAGCGCCUAGCACCCUCUAGCUACGAUGUGGACAGAGACACGACUAGCACUGCCUACUCGAGAUGCUGCUGCACCGAGCGCAGGGCUAGCUUCGCAUGGGCAGUGAGCACACCAGCAUAAUGCAGGAGCCAACACAUCUUCCUCUGCCUCAUCUUCCAUGUCAUGGACGUCGAGGUACUCCUGCAUCGCCUUGAAGGCCACCUCCUCCUCAGCGUCCUCCUCCUCAACCUCCCUAUGGUUACAAGAUAGCUCAAAUGAUGCAAGCUCAAGCUUGGACUUGUUGGAGUAGGGGCUCGAGCCCAGCGAGUUGGAGCAGGCGCCAGACUUGGAGCCUGCGUAGGAGUUGGAGGCUGCCGCUGCUCUGGAAUUGGAGCCGCCACCGCGGUGCCGGGCACCGGCGCCCUAUGGCAAUGACCUCCCUUGGACAUGUUGCAGUUUUUUUGGCUACUUACGUACAUGUUGCACCGUUUUGGAGUACUUAUAUACAUGUUGCAUCUUUUUGGACUACUUACAUAUAUGUUGCCCCUUUUUUGGUAAGUUGUGCCAGUGCAUGAUACUCUCAUUCUAUGUUAGACCUGUUAUUAGUUAUUUUUGCAUGUUGCUAUUUUUUGAUAAGUUUGUAUGUUGCACUGUUUUUGAACAUGUAAAAGCCAAUUAACAUUGGAAUUCCUAAAGGUAGCAUACACCAACUUAGUAAGAACAUUCAAACAAAAGUUAACGACAUGAUUAAGCUUACCAAAUCAUAGUACGACAACAUCAUAUUAUUUUCAGUUAACACUAGGAAUCCACAUGCCUGGUCCUCAAAACUAGCUAGAAGGGGGUUGGAGACGCUUCAGAUGACGGGUGAUGACCCACAAGUAUAGGGUAUCAAACGUUGUCCUUUCGACAAAUAAGAGUGUCGAACCCAACGAGGAGCAGAAGAAAUUACAAUCGGUUUUCAGCAAGGUAUUUUCUGCAAGCACUGAAAUUAUAUGUGACAGAUAGUUUGGUAGCAAGAUAAUUUUGUAAUGAGCAACAAGCAGAAACUGUAACUAAGGUGCACCAAGGUAGGCCAACCCUUUUUGUAGCAAAGGACAUACCGGUACAAUCUCUUAUAUCAAGUAAAGCACUCUUGAGGACACACGGGAAUUUCAUCUAGUCACUUUCAUCAUAUUUACUUGCUUCGCGUUCUUUACUUUGAUAAUUCGAUAUGUGGGGGGACCGGUGCUUCGGUGUUGUUCUUACUUGAACAAGCCUCCCACUAUGAUUACCCCCUCUCGCAAGCUUUCGUAACUACGAAAGAAGAAUUAAGAUAAAUCUAACCAUAAGAUGAAACAUAUGGAUCCAAAUUAGCCCCUUACGGAAUAACACAUAAAUUAGGGUUUAAGCUUUUAUCACUCUAUCAAACCAUCAUCUAAUUACUACUAAGGGAAUGAUGUUGAAGUGUCAUGUAGUUCAUGUUCACAUAACAAUACUAAGGGAAUCACAACAUACAUAUCAUCAAAAUAUCGAACGAAUACCAAAUUCACAUGAUUACUUAUGAGAAGACUUCUCCCAUGUCCGCAAGAAUAAAAAUAACUACUCACAAAUCAUGAUCAUGUUCAAGAUCAUAGGGGUAUUGAAUAUCAUUAAGGAUAUGAACAUAUAAGCUUACACCAAAUAAACCAACUAGCAUUAACUACAAGAUGUAAUCAACACUACUAGCAACCCACGGGUAUGAAUCUGAAGUUUUGAGACAAAUAUUGAAUACAACAGAUGAACUAGGGUUUGAGAUGAGAUGGUGCAUUUGAAGAUGUUGAUGAAGAUUGGUCCUCUCACAAUGAGAGGAUUGUUGGUAAUGACGAUUGCUUCAAUUUCCCCCUCUCGAAGGGAAGUUUUCAAGGCGGAAUCACUCCGCCAAAGAGCAUAAGUGCUCCUGCCAGAUUCCGCCUCGAGACGAUAGUGCUUCAUCUCGAAACCCUUCUUCCGAUAUUUUUCUAGGUCAAAUGGCAGCAUAUAGGAGAAGAUGGUCCCUGGAGGCUAGCAGGGGCGCUAUAACCUUGGGGGCGCUCCCUAGGGGGUAGGGCGCGCACCCUAGGCUUCUCGCUUCCUGGUGGGUCCCCUUCUAGUAUUCUUUCUCCAGCAUAUUUUAUAUAUUCCAAAAUAAAUCUCCGUCAAUUUUCAGGUUAUUUGGAGUUGUGCAGAAUAGGUAUCUUUUGAUAUAGCCCUUUCUGGUCCAGAAUUCCACCUGCCGGCAAUCUCCCUCUUUAUGUGAAACUUGCAAAAUAAGAGAGAAAAAACACAAGACUAUUAUCAUAAAGUGAAAUAACAAUCCAUAAUGCGAUAAAUAUCUAUAGGAAAACAUGAUGCAAAAUGGAAGUAUCAACGAGCCACCUGAUGGUGGGACCGUUGAGCAUUCCGCUGAAACUGAGCCAUGAUCACAUAUUACUCCUCCACUAUCGGGAUAGUGUUGCAGCUCAGCUUGGCCUCCAAGCUAAGCAGCGGUAGAUUCUUCCUGGCAUCAGCCUCCAACAACUCCUGGUCAUGCAUCUUCUGAUCCUCGCCGUCCACUGGAAUGGUCAGAUCGUGUUUACCAACGAAGGACGAGCGAUGACCUUCAUAUCCCCUGAUAGCACAACCUUUCGGCAACCUCCUCCUGGACGAUGAUCUCCAAACACCCCGGUAGUUGUCAUCUACUGCAUCCUCCACCCGCUCCUUGUCAGAAUCCUCCUCCCGCUCCUGCUCGUCGUCAGAAUCCUCUUCCUCCUCCUCCUCCUCCUCCUCCUCCUUGUCAGAAUCCUCUUCCCCCUCAUCCUCCUUAUCAGAAUCGUCUCCCUCCUCCUCCUCGUCAGAAUCAUCUUCGUCCUCCUCAUCGUCGGCAUCCUCCUAUUAAGUUUCCUCGUCGAUGAUGUCAAUAAUACGCAAAUUCACCAUUCCUUCCGGCUGUGGAUUUGGCGGGAGCGAUAAUCGUACCAGCAUGCUCGUUGUUGAGGAUCCGACGAAUCCAUUGCUUCUGCCAUUCGCCAAAGGAGAACCUCCAUUGAUAUUGUGCCCUUCUCUUUAGGAAUCAUCCGCUCCAGUUCGACUGAUGUCACUUCAAAGGUUAGCCCAGCGAGUGCAACUCGAGAGCUUUUUUGCUUGGAAACCAGGAGCAUAUUUCCUUGCACUCGGCCAACAACUCCUCGCCUCCGGCACAAAAUUCUUCCAUUUCUCUCUUCCGUCCAAGUACAACUAGCAUCUAUUAAAGACAAAAUUUGCAAAUCAAAUUAUUAAAAAAGGAAUCGAUUAUAAGGAUCGAAAUUACCACAUAACCUAAAAUGGGCUCCUAUGAACGGAUCAUAAUCUAUAUUUUAGUAAACUAGCUGCCGCUAUCACGAAUCCAAUCCUAAAAAGACUUUCAUAACGUUUGCAAGUUGGAGCAGAUCAACGAACAACAAUUCAAUCACCCAAUCGCCCGUUCAAUCGAAUGAUCCUAAUUACUAGGGUUCCUAUUAGAAACGUGCAUGUCGCCCAACUAUAUCGGAUGGUUCCUGCUAGCUGCGACGUAUCACCAUAUCGCUUCACCAUUGGAGCUAAGGCAUACGGUCGAGUAGGCGGCGGGACUGCUAGGGUAUGGCGGCACGGGACUGCUACGCGAACAACGACAUUUGGCCUCCGUCAUAAGCGGUCACAACCAUGGACCACCUACCAUACACGGCCCGCAUGUCCAAAGAACUGUGGCCCCACAUGUCAGUAACUGAGCUGUAACUAUCAACUGGUUUGACCGGCGACAAAGCUCUGUUUUGGCUCUUGUGAGAAUGAGGCGAGUGGUGGAGGGGAAAAGUGGGGAAAGUUAGAUGAUAUGGGCACAGAAAUUCGAAACCCAAUAAAAAUAUGGACAAAAAUAUGAUACUAUGUUUUUUAAUAAUUAUGUUCACAAAGACAUCUUACUCACAAUGACCAACUAUGGAGUAGUUGAGUGUAUUGAUGAUGGUGAGGUCGACAAGUGAACUAUACCAGUCUCAUGGGUGCAUGUGGUAUUGGUCGUACAGGGCUUGGGAGUAACUACCUUGUCUUACCUUUUCCCCUUGUCACAUUUUAAAAAUUCAUUAAUACCAUAUUCAGAUCUGCAUUUUGAUUGUUGAUUUAGUUUAUAUGAAGACAAGAAUUUUGGGUAAACAGCCAUACGUACAUAGCACUAAGUAAAGUAUAAACAAUAUUUCGAAAGUGGCUUGGCCACUUUGGUGCACCCCGAUCCAAUUUGGAAUAUAUGUGCGCCAUGCCGCUGCUAUUGGGACUAUGUACUAUGAUACAUAUCCAACGCUUUUUUAACCGCACCAGUGAUACAUGGAGUCAUCUGUGAGCUAUGAUAUUUUUUUCAGCCACACAUACAACAUCAAUAAUAUUGAAACACGGGAUUCCUAUUUCUAAUGAUCGCGCCAUACUUGGUCGAAUUGUAUUGUACCACCAAAUGCAAAAAAUCAAUAAUUCAAACAGUUUUCCCAAAGCACAUCUAAAUGUGCCAUAAGUAUUGCACAUCUAAAUCCUAUAUCUCAUCUAAUUCAAAAGCUAUACUAGUCACGCCCAUGUUAUUUUGGUUGGCACAUCGAGCUCGUCAAAUUGUAUGUAAGCACCGUCCAAACAUGGACCGAAUUAAUGUGCCAUAAAAUGUAGAUAUGUGUCGUAGCAUUGGAAGCAUUAAUGCGGCAACGCCAACCUCUGCUGCCAAUGUCUUCAAAAUGUGUCUUUUUCAUUCUCCGGGCUCUCUUUUCAUACACACUUCCCAACUUGUAUGCUACAAGAAAUCCACAUAGCGUACAUCAAUUUUGUAUUGUUGAAUAUACUAGUACGAGAUGUUGAAAUCUCAUAGGAGUGCCAAGAUGCAUCUUUCUAUAAUUUCGAUGCAUAAGGGUAGGAGGCAUGAGAAACAUAGCAAUAUUAAGGGAACUGCAAAUUUUUGAAAGUUAGUCUCACGACGUUGUUUCUUAGCGCUAUGUCCCUGACAUUGUGCUCCCUCCAAUCCUAACUAGUGCCUAUUUUUUUUUCAAUUUCCCCUCAAUACUCUGCGUGGUCCAGCGAUUCAGCGAUAGUUUCCUAUCAUGCCCCUGUUUUAGGUUCGCAUGCAAUGUCUCAUAAUUACUCGCAUGCAGAGAGAUAGGUUUAUGCAGGCAUGCAGGAAAUAAAAUCUGCAUGCCCAUGGAAAAAUAGUCAAGAAAAUAUCUUGUUGGCACUAAGGCAGACGAAAUGAUAAAGAACUAGAUGAUGGCCCGCGUAUUGCUGCGGGAACUCUUAGUCCUACGCAUAUAUGAUAAUACAUAGAUUGGAUUCCUAUGUUUGCAUAGUAGAUAUAUGAUCUUAAGAUAGUGAAAUGUGCAUUAUGUGAUACUUUUAUUAAAUAUAGUGGUACGACAUAAUUAAUCUGAUAUAAUUUACAUACAUACCAAUGUAUAUAUACACAUUAAGUACAGAGAUUCUAAAUUGGAGAUGACAUAAAACAUUAUAUACAAAUUGUCAUUUUGAGAUACUUACUAUGUAUUGUCUGGUGACUCCUGUUGUAAAUCAAUCUUCUGCAUUUUACUAUGUAGUAUACCAAGUAGGUAUUAAAGAAGUUUAUAGCAGGAAGCAUUAAGACAAUCUGCCAGAGCACAAUCAACCAAAUUUAAAAAAGUUGAGUGGGAAUAACACUACCUGAGAAAUCAAAUGCAUAAUAGAGAAAACACAUUUUUCUUUACGGAGCAGAGGAAACUAAAUACGCAUUUACGCUCCUGGUUUCAAUCCAGGGCUUCAAAGCUUGUGUGGAGUCAUCUAGCACCUCCCUACAAAGAAGCAUGAGUAUUAAAUUAGAUAAGACAAUUUGAUAACAAUACAGAAGAACAAACAGUGACCAUGCAUCGUUGGGAUAGCAAAUAAUACGGAUACUCAUUCAAAUAUGUGUGUCAAAAAACAAUCGGCAAACCAUGUAGGAACAACCUGACAUGAAUCAACUGGCAUGAGAGUGGGAGAUACAUAAGGAACUCCACCUGUAUGAGCCGACACACAGGUCCAUGAAGAAAUAUUAACAGCCCCGUGUGGUAAUUUUGAUAGAUAUAAUUAGGUAUUAAGGUAAGGGAUUAGUUACCGGCUCAUGGGCGUCAUCAGCACCAUCGAAGGGAAGGUGCUCCCGAACGACACCAAAAUGCGUGUCGGCGCAUGGUGAAUUACGUGCCCUUCUCCACGGGGGCGGAUUGAGUACAAUUGGGGAUCCGAUACUGCUAUCUUCCUGCAAGCGGUGGAUCGGCGAUAACCGGACGUUAUGCAACGUGUUGCCGUUCAAGUUCAUGGCGUUCCGGCUCUGACUAUGCAAGGACUCGGUGUACCUGUAGAUGAAGAUGUCGUUGGCCAUUCUGUGCAGGUUCUUUAGGUUAGUUGAUGACCACCUUCUCCAUGGCACACGACCUGAAGUUUCACAUCUCCAGGAUGCAUUUGUUUGGUGUAGAAGAUGGAGAUAAUCUGUCGUAGAAGAUAAAGAAAGUCAUGGAAAAUCAGUUGGUAGGGGAAUUAAUUGGGGUGAUGAAGGAGAUUUUCUGCCAUAUNNNNNNNNNNNNNNNNNNNNNNNNNNNNNNNNNNNNNNNNNNNNNNNNNNNNNNNNNNNNNNNNNNNNNNNNNNNNNNNNNNNNNNNNNNNNNNNNNNNNNNNNNNNNNNNNNNNNNNNNNNNNNNNNNNNNNNNNNNNNNNNNNNNNNNNNNNNNNNNNNNNNNNNNNNNNNNNNNNNNNNNNNNNNNNNNNNNNNNNNNNNNNNNNNNNNNNNNNNNNNNNNNNNNNNNNNNNNNNNNNNNNNNNNNNNNNNNNNNNNNNNNNNNNNNNNNNNNNNNNNNNNNNNNNNNNNNNNNNNNNNNNNNNNNNNNNNNNNNNNNNNNNNNNNNNNNNNNNNNNNNNNNNNNNNNNNNNNNNNNNNNNNNNNNNNNNNNNNNNNNNNNNNNNNNAACUGAAACCACAAAAAUAAGUGAUAACAUAGAUGCAACAUAUAUAUACCUUUUUAGAUUUUCAGUAAAAAAUGACAUGAAAUAAAAAAAACGUGUAACUGAUAGUAGUACUAUAGGAGGUGAAUAAACCUCUCAAGUACGACAUGAAAUAACUUGUUGCUACCCACACGUUGUGUUUUCUUAUUUAUACAUCAUAUCAGGUGCUUUCUUUACAAAGUGAUCCCGUGGAUCAAGCAACUCAAAACACACACAUGUUCAUCUAUAAUUUCCAGGCGUUCUUUAUACGAACCUCUUGAAACAGGGCUUAUUGCUAACGAUUCGAUGAUCCCUAUAGGGUGCGGUUAGCGAGAGUUCAUUACUGAGGACAGACAGACUGGCAAAACAACAGUAGCCACAGAUACAUUUCUCAGGAAAAAAGGGAAGGAUGUAAGAAAAACGAGAGCGAGCCUUCACGAAAGAAAAUGCAAGUGAAAGAGAAUUGUAAAAAUGUCCUAAAAGUGGUGGUUGUUUUCUUUAUGGAUCGGGUAGAUCCAUAUUUUCUGAGGGGGAGACGCUACCACUACUACAACCACUAUCACUAUCACUACCACUACCAUCACCACCACUACUACUCCUACUACUAUCAAUGGCACGCUUUGGGGUUGGUAAGAAUAUGGUCAUUAUUGUAGUUUGUCGAUAGUGGACUUGAAUGCUUUGCACUUUCAUUUUUUGCUCGCUUCGNNNNNNNNNNNNNNNNNNNNNNNNNNNNNNNNNNNNNNNNNNNNNNNNNNNNNNNNNNNNNNNNNNNNNNNNNNNNNNNNNNNNNNNNNNNNNNNNNNNNNNNNNNNNNAAUGGCACGCUUUGGGGUUGGUAAGAAUAUGGUCAUUAUUGUAGUUUGUCGAUAGUGGACUUGAAUGCUUUGCACUUUCUUUUUUUGCUCGCUUCAGCAUAACUUGGGUCUUUUAUGACUUCUUUAUUGGCCGGCAAAUUUGUGUGUGUGUGUGUGUGUGUGUGUGUGUGUGUGUGUGUGUGUGUGUGGGCGCGCACGCCUUCAUCUUGGCUGUGUUCAUUCUAUCUGUGGAGCUCAUUGUGUUUGUAUUAUCUUGAUGCUUCAUUUUGAGUCAUUAAAUUCAGUCUUCGUCGGAGAAAAACCAAGGUGAGGGACAUGAUCGACAUAAAUUACUUGUCUAUCAUAUAUUACUUCCACAAUUUUUCCAGUUGCAAUGCCCAGUUACCUUACCAGUGUCUGCUGACAAAUGGCUAAAAAUAGCAGUUUUACUACCAGCAUGACUCAAAUAUAAUGCUCAUCCCCUCUCUCAUAAUUUAAACCCAUAAGAGAUCCUCUGCAUUCACUUUAUUUCCGUCGUAUCUCACGGUAGUUAUGUGGAAUAAAAUAUCAGGAGAAAUGAUUAUAAGUAUAAACCAUAUACUGGAAAUGUACAUGGUAAAACAUACAAUAAAAUCUCGGUUCUACACAAAUGGCUAAAAAUAGCAGUUUUACUACACAAAUUAAACUUCUCCGCUCUCUCAUUUCACACACACCUCCUACCUUGUACUGCUACAAGGAAUUAAAACCCAACAUCUUUGGGCAAAGUUAAAAAAACCAACUUACAUCGACUUUCUAGUCUUCAACAUACCUGCACGGGAUUUUGAAAUGAGAUAGGAGUACCAGGAUGCAUCUUCCUAUAUAUUCAAAGCGUAAGAGUAGGAGCCAUGGGGAACUUAGCAAUAUCUACGACACCCCAAAUUUGUGCAACGGAGACUCGCGAAACAGUUUUUGACAGCUACGCCCUUAUCCUAUAAAGCUCACCUUUUUCCUUGGCCUGAGAACCACGUAUGUGAUGGAGAUGCGAUGGUAAUAAGGCGGACCAAAUGAUAAAUCAUACAUUUUGCAAGACAAUGGCGCGUGCCUAUGAAGAGAAUAGAAACCCAACAUCUUGUCGUGCCCCGCCGUAAGUUUUCGCACCGAGGCCUUCUCUGGAAAAAUAUGUUAGACCAGUUUUUUUAGUAAAUUUACAUAUUUCUAUUUGUACUUGAAUCGAAAUAUAUGUUCAUAUUUUCUGCCAAAGCUAAAAUUAUAUCAAAACUUACAUACCGAUCUGUAUUCGGAAAAUUCUAAAAUUUUAGAACUUUUAGCACUAAGAUAAUUUCUGAGAUACACAUUUUCGGCCACAUUUUUACUAAAAUCACUUGAAUAAAAUUAGAUUUAUCUAUUUGAACUUCAAUAAACAUAUGGAGUUCAUAUUUGCUACCGAAGUUGGAUAGUUAUCUAAAUUCGGAUAUCAAACUGUAUUUGUAAAAUUCUACUGCCUCUGAUCCAAAACAAGUGUCGCAGCUUUAAAUUAAGGUUAGUUAAACCUUAGCUCAAAGAUGGGACACUUAUUAUGGGUCGGAGGGAGUACAGUUUUUGAUGGAAAAAGACUGAAAUUAUGUGGUUGUGUGAUAUUGGCAAGCAGCUGACGAUCAACUAUCCACUUUCAAUGUGACACAACAUAACUUUCUUGUUAUUUUUUAUACCAUAAGCAUUUAGUCCACGUACUCCAAGCUGAAGGCUAUCACUAAAUUUUACUAAAACUGCACAAGUAAUUGAUAACAUAGACUUACAAUGACAUCAAUUUUGUAAUAUUCAAACAGUGUCUGAUUAAAGUUUUUAAUAUUCAAUCUAAAAUGCCUGAAACAAUAAGAAAAAUCUGUGCAAUUUAUAGUUGCAAUGCAGGCAGUGAACAAAUCUCUCAAUCAGGAAAUGAAAAUAAAUUGUUUAUUGCCGCAAGUUAUGUUUGCUUAUUUUGGUCACAUUACAUUAUUUCUUUCCUGAACUGAUCUUGCGAUUCUGUCAAGUCAAAAACACAAAAACAACAUAUUGUAGUUAAAGGCUUUACCAACCAUCAUCGUGGGGAAAGUCAUCGUCAAAACUGUUUUUCAUAAACUAAAUAAGCAUCAUCUUUUUUUCCCUGAAAAGUUACCCAUGAUUGUCUUUUUUUUCAUGUGGAUGAGGAUACAACAUAGAAAAAGAAAAUUGAUCAUCCCACGGUUACUUAAGCCAUUCCGGAUCGAGCUAUGUUGAGAUGAAAAAGGUUGAACUUCGGUAUAAAUGCUUAUAUGUAAAUAUAUUUCAGGUAUAGUAUAUUCUUGGAAAAAUUCAAGCACCUGACUCAAAUUAGCAUGGAGAGAAUAUGUCCAUCCGUGCGCCUUCUGUAAAUAAGGAGAAAAUUCUAUUAUUCCCAUGGUCCACCUAUAGCGAAAAGUAGAUAUUAACUUUCUAUUUGUGCAAGUAUUUAGUGCCGCAGUCCACUCAGCUUUCUUAUGUCGUACCCUGUCAGAACGCCGGUUUAUUACUGUGAUUGGAUCCAUAAUUACAAGUUCAUACUCUCCGAUCAAUUUAUAACAAACAUGAAGUAUAUUGUACGUACUAUCACAACCAAGAGUAUUCCAAUUUUUUGCCCUACAAGCUAACAACCAGUGUCUAAUUAAUUGACAUCUCGCUGGAUGAUCUUUCAUGUACACUGUUUGAAAUUUACCUUAAUCUGUCUAGAAGUAUAUUUCAGUGUAUUGGAUGAUGGUGAUUUAAGCAGUUCUAAGUAUAUUCUGAUUUCUUAUAAUUAAGCCAGUAGGAGUUUUUGUUGGUGGUUGCAUUCACUAGAAUUCUGUGUGUUUUGUUGAGGAACCAAAGUGAGUGAAAUGCCAUAGUUCCAUUCCUAGUAAAUUGUUGGGUUCAUUCCUACGUCUUGCUUGGAGCAACAAACUGGAAUGGAAUGCUUUCCCAGUCUUGCAUAUAUCAAAAGUGCUGAAUAACAUGCGCACGCAAGUAGAGCUGAUCAGCUGAGUAUACAAUCCAUAUAUCAAAAGUACACAUGGUACGAAGUACAGCAAACUCGGGGAGUGGAAGAACAACCAAACAUCGAUACAACAGUGUGGCCGGCCAUGCAGAGCUGCUUGGACGUACGUACUCCUCUCUCUCUCACGCAGUGAGAUAAUAUGAGAGCAUUUAUUCAUAUAUAUAUGUGGGUGUGCGUGUGUGUGACCUCAACGUACUAAGCGUAGAUCCAGCAACGAUGGCGUAGGGGACGAUGGCAACAGCGAUGGCAGCAAGUGCUCGAUCAGCGAAUCUUAGAGCAGUCGACCGAAGAGCUGAUGGCGUAAGGGACGCUAACGCCGCACUUUGUGGGGAUGCCGGCGGCCUUGCCAGCGUUGAGCCCAGCAGCAGCGCUCUUGAUGCACUUGCACGCCGCUUGCUUGUCAGCGGUGCUCCGGGCUGAGCUGGCUAGACUCCUAACGCCGCUGCAGCAGGCCGCAGAUGGGCUGGCGCCGUUGCCGCGUGCAUAGGAGAUGCAGGGGCUCAAGGCAGAGCUCACCUGACCGCACGAUACAGCCGCCUCCGUGACUGCGAGGAGCAUAGCAGCCACCACGGCGACGAGCACGACCUGAGCAAGAGCAGAACGGGCCAUCUCGAUCAAGCUAGCAAUAGUAGUGGUAGUGAGCUCAGGCAGAGAUGAUGAGAUAGCUAGAUUUGCUAA
rnacentral:lncRNA from 1 species